rnacentral:lncRNA from 1 species
UGAAAGUGCAACUAAUCCCCGGGUGGUUUUGGUAAUUAAUAACAACAUAUAUAUCAUUGAACUAAUAGUUACUUGAGAAUCAUUUCAGAAAGUUCAGUGAUAUGGGUAUGGCAAGGACUGAAGAAGUGGACCCCUCAAAAUGCUAAGGCAAGCAUUGGCAAAAGCUCAAGACUCCAUUUUUGGUUUAGUGAUCCAAGAUCACAUUGAGUCCAUAGGAAAGCCAAUACUAUUAAAAGGGGAUGAGGUUAUGAUGAUGAUCUGGUUGCUCAAAGUGCUUAGUGAUACAUCUCCUAAACUAUCAGCAACUUUCACUGCCAUAUACACUCAUAAGUAAUCUCGGUCCCACCGAUAUUCCAAACUCAGUCACACCGAGAUGAACCACCUCAGCCACAAAGCCAAACCCUAGAAAACUCGGAUUUUCCGAUUCCAAAUUCGGUCUCACCGAAACUUGAGUUGCCAAGCUUCUGUAACCUUCUGUCAUCAAAUCGGUGUCACCGAGAUGAUGAAGUCGGUCCCACCGAGAUUGGCAAGCUCUUGUCUUUGCACGAAUCGGACAAACCGAGAUUGUAUUUUCGGUCCCACCGAAAAUCCCAACGUUCACAUUAUUUGAACUUUCGGUCUCACCGAGUUGUCAACUUCGGUCUCACCGAGAUUGGUCAAAUGUGUGUAAUGGUUGGAUUUUGUGUGGAGGCUAUAAAUACCCCUCCACCCCCUCUUCAUUCGUGGAGAGAGCCAUCAGAAAGAACUACCACUCCUACCUUACAUUUCUGAGAAGAGAACUACCUACCCUUGUGUUGAGAUCAAGUUGCUCCACUCCCAUCAUAUGAAGCUUGAUCUCUAGUCUUCCCAAGUUGCUUUCCACUCAAUCCUUUCUUCCACCACAGCCAAAUCAGUGAGGAGAGUUGAGUGUUGGGGAGAUUAUCAUUUGAAGCACAAGAGCAAGGAGUUCAUCAUCAUCAACACCAUCUAUUACCUUUUGGAGGGUGGUGCCUCCUAGAUUGGUUAGGUGUCGCUUGGGAGCCUCCGUCGAGAUGUGGAGUUGAACCAAGAAGUUUGUAAGGGCAAGGAGAUCGCCUACUUCGUGAAGAUCUACCCCGAGUAAGGCUAGUCCUCCGUGGGCGUAGGCCAUGAUGGCAUAGACAAGGUUGCUUCUUCGUGGACCCUUCGUGGGUGGAGCCCUCCAUGGACUCUCGCAGCCGUUACCCUCCGUGGGUUGAAGUCUCCAUCAACGUGGAAGUACGAUAGCACCACCUAUCGGAACCACGAGAAAAAUCUCCGCGUCUCCAAAUUGCGUUUGCUCUUCUCCACCUCUCUUUACUACAUGUGCAAUUUACUUUCCGCUGCCUAUACUCUAGAAUUGCAUGUGUAGGGUGAUGCUUGACUUGAUCAAAAUUGUGAAUCUGCCAAAAACUGUUCUUUGUCAAAAGGCAUAAUCUUUUAUAUUGUCAAGUAGUCUAAUCACCCCCCCCUCUAGACAUACUUCCGAUCCUACAAGUGGUAUCAGAGCUUUGGUCUCCAUUGUAUUGGUUUCCAUUGCAUUGGACUCCAUAAGCUUGGUUUCACAACCUAGGAGAGUAUGGCGUCUAGUGAGGGUAAUUUUCGUAGAGGUCCUUACUUUGAUGGUACAAAUUUUGCUAGUUGGAAGCAUAAAAUGAAAAUGCAUAUUCUUGGCCAUAACCCAGCCGCAUGGGGCAUUAUUUGUGUUGGUAUGCAAGGUGAAUUCUUCGAGGAAGGAAAAGUUCCAGAUCGCGAAGCUACAACGGAAGAAUUGCGGAUGUUGCAAAACAAUGCUCAAGCUUGUGACAUUCUCUUCAAUGCCUUGUGUCCCGAGGAGUUCAACAAAAUCAGCCGUCUUGAGAAUGCAAAAGAGAUUUGGGAUACUUUGGUUGAGAUGCACGAAGGUACCGAGUCCGUGAAGGAAUCAAAGCUAGAUGUUCUUCAAGGUCAACUUGACAAGUUCAAGACGAAGGAAGGUGAAGGAGUCGCUGAAAUGUACUCUAGGCUUGCUCUCAUCACAAAUGAGAUUGCCGGCUUAGGAAGCGAAGAAAUGACCGACCGAUUUAUCAUCAAGAAGAUUCUCAGAGCUUUGGAUGGAAAGUAUGACACCGUGUGCACCUUGAUCCAAAUGAUGCCAAACUACAAGAAUCUCAAGCCAACCAAAGUCAUUGGAAGAAUUGUUGCCCAUGAGAUGACACUUAAGGAUAAGGAAGAGCUUCACAACAAGUCAAGUGGUGCUUACAAAGCUACAAGUGAUGCUCCCACAACCUCAAGUGACAAGCUAGUUUCCAAUGAAGAGAUAAGCCUAAUGGUCAAGAACUUCAACAAAUUCUACAAGAGUAGAAGCAAAGAGAGAAGCUCAAAGUCUAGAUCAUAUGAUGAAAAGAGAUCUUCUAGUCGUGAUCGAAACUGCUACAAUUGUGGAAGACCCGGACACUACUCAAAUGAGUGUUCGGCUCCCCACAAGAGAAGAGAAGAAUCUCCAAGAAGAAGAAGCUCAAGAGAUGAGUCACCUCGGAAAGAGAGAAGGAGUAGAGAUGAUCGUUAUGAACGAAGACCCUCUCGGAGAAGCAAGGAUUCGGAGAGGAAAGACAAGUCAUCAAGGAGCUACACAAGAAGAAAACAUCAAGCUCAUGUAGGUGAAUGGGUCUCCGGCUCCGACUCCGACAAUCAAUCCGAAGGAAGCUAUCACUCCAACUCCGACUACAGUCAAGAUGAAGGUGUUGCCGGUCUUGCUCUCGUAUCCUCCAACUCCAACUCCUAUGACUUAUUUGAUUCACCAAAUGAGGGAAUUGGAAGAUGCUUCAUGACUAAAGGCCCCAAGGUAUCACACCCUGAAUUCAUUGACUUUGAUAGUGAUGAGGAUGACUUGCUUGGUGAAGAUGAGCUCUUACAUGAUAAAUCCAAUGAACCUAGUAACGAUGAACAUGCUAGUAGUCUUUAUAGUCGAGAAGAGUCGAAUGACAAUGCUAUGAAGGAGAUUGAGCGUCUAACUAAAGAACUAAACACUCUUAAGUUAGCUCAUGAAACAACUCAAGAAGAUCAUAGAGAGCUCCUAAGAUCUCAUGAGAAGCUACGCUUCGAGAAGCUCACUCUAGAGCAAGAACAUGAGUUUCUAAAAGCAAUCAAUGACGAUCUUCGAAAGAAGAGUUCUUCAUAUCUUGCCAAACGACUUCUCUUGUCUAAUUUCUUGCCACCUAUUAAAACUAAGCAUGACAAGCAUAAGAAAAGUUCUUUCUCUAGUAGUAACAAUAACCAUGCUAAAUCCAAUAUUGUUGCUUCUAGUAGUUCUCUUGAUUCCACUAACAAUGUUUCAAGCCAAGUUACACUUGAGCAAGAAAAUAGUUUAUUGAAAGGGAUUAUAGAGAAAGGUGUCUACAAGAGCCUUGCCGGAAGCAAGAACUUUGAGGAAAUUGUUCGCAAGCAAGGAAGGCACCGGAAGAAUCAAGGAAUUGGUUUUGAGCGAAAGUUCAACGCCGAAGGUGUUGAAUGGGAAGAAGGUCAAUAUCCUACUCCACAGUUUAUUCCUCAAAAGGAGAAGUAUGAUCCUACUUCUUCCAAUGUGGAACAAGCUCAAGAUGACCUUCCACCACAAGACCACAAGCUAAAAGGCAAGGACAAGCUUCAAGAGGAGAUUGAUGCAUUUGUUGAAGCACCUCAAGCCAUGGUCAAGUGGGUUCCCAAGGAAACGUCAAGUUCUACUUCGUCAAGCUCAACUACAACCCCAAGGAUUCCCAUCAAGAUGAUGUGGAUCCCGACGAAGAAGAACUAGAAAGUUCUUGAGGGUGACUCCGCCAACAUACUUCACUCACAUUCAUUUUGGCAAAAACUUGUGCAAUCAACUUCCACAUCUUGCACUAGUUCAUGGAGUCACAAACCCUCUUGUUGGUAAGUCAAGGGACAAGGUAAUCAUUGCUUUCAUGGACAUCAUCUAUUGUGUACUUCAAUCUAUGUCCAUGGAUAUCCUUGUUUGUUCCUUGUGGGACUAACCCAUGUAGGUAUUGAAAGUGCCCGAAUCCAAAGGAUAGCUCCAAACUCUUGAUGAUCUUCAUCAACAUUGAGCAUCCACAUCUUCAACAUCUACAUGAAGUCUUCUACGACAACCCAAGGUUAGUUUGACCCUUUAAAAGGGGUUCUCACAUCUAGGGGGAGCUUUGCUCUAAAAAUUGAGCUAAAGCAUCUUCAAAUGAUGUGAACACAUCAAUGCUUUAUGUAAAAGUGGUAACCCCACUUGUGCUUAAACGAUGAGUAUGACCUAUGAUCAAAUGUUCUCAUUUGGCUCCUAAGUCAAUAUACUCAUAUAAAGAUGACCUAGUCAUCGACAAAUUGUGUGAUAGUAGGUAGAGUUUUGAUUGUGCAUGUUUGACACAUAUUUCAUUUGCUAUCUUAUUGUGUGAGCAUGUUGGAUGCAUGAUUUUAUCCAUUCAAGGACAUCCAUUUGUUGUUUUGGUCGUUUUGAUUUUUCUGACCAAAUGGAUGGACAAGAAUGCCUAAGUACCUCCCCUAGCUAUCUAUGCUUUCUUGUCUCAAAUUCUAUUCAUGCUUACAUCACAAAUUUUGAACAAGUCAUUUUCGGACCCUCCGAGUGAGGAGCACUCGGAGCCACCGAUCCGUCAAGGGCUAACUUCCAAAACCUUCUAAGUGAUUUCGGUCAGACCAACUCACUCAAACUCGGUCGAACCGAAAGCAUUUGGACGGAUCUAGGUUUUCACCUCGGCGAAACCGAGUUGUGAUUUUCGGCGUGACCGAAGUGCAUAACUGCCCUGCAGUUAUCCAUCUCGGUGCCACUGAGUUUUACAACUCGGUCCCACCGACAGCAAAGGGGUAUAUAUACUCCGAGGGCCGCGCGUUGAUUUCUCCUUCAAACGCUUCGCCCCCACACCCCUUGCUGCCGUCGCCCUGGUCUCCGGAUCGUCUCCGUCGUCGCCUGUGCGCCCUCGCCGCAGGUCUCCGUCGCCGUCAACGGACAUCUUCUCCGCGCCGUUGCCGCCGUAGAGAAACUCCACCAAGUUAGGGUGAGUUUUGAUCCCACUCGUGCUCCCAUCUCCGAUUCAAUGCACGUUUGGUUUGCCUAGAAUCUUGCCACGAUUGAAAUCUUCCUGUACACCAGAUUAGUUCAUUUGGACUAGAUUCGAGUAAAAGUUUUAGGGUUAGGUUUCCGCUGAACACAUCUCGGUGAGACCGAUUUUACAUUUUCGGUAUGACCGAUUUGGCCUAUGGCCAUUGCACUGCACCCUUCGGUCCAACCGAGUUGUGCAAAUCGGUGUGACCGAAAUGAGGAUUCUGUGAAACCCUAGUGUUUUCGGAAGGACCGAAACCCACUUCGGUCCAACUGAAAGUGGUGUGAAAGCUUCUGUUUGAACACUUCGGAUUCACCGAAUUUUAGACUCGGUCUGACCGAAAUGUCUUCUGUGACAACCUAAUACUAGAAUUUGAACUCAUUUUUUUUGAAAAAAAAACUUCUGCAUUUGUGAUGACUCUUCUUCUCUGCCUAUACCUUAUCUAUUCACAGGUUGUCAGCCAUGUCAGAUGCCAGUGACAGUCAGAACAGGUCAGAGACACCCAUUGCAGAUAUUCCAGAGGCAGGCACUAGUCCUGAUCCUAGCAGCUCAUCAGAUGAUGGUGAGAGGAGUACACCAAGUGGUUUACCUCCUGCAGCCACCAGAGCCAGAAAGAAGAGGAACUCAGAUGAUGAAGACUCAGAUUUUGUUGUUGAAGAGGUCACCUCAAAGCCCAAGAGGAAGGUUGUUGCCAAAGAGCCACAAGGUCAACAAACCAAGAAGGGCACCAGAAAAGUCAAGCAGUCAACUGUUGCCAAGAAGCUGACUUUGGAAGAGGAAACUACAAGCAAAGUUAAGAAAACUUCCAAGAGAAAGAGGUUAGUGCAUGAUGAUGCAGCAGAAGAAGAUGAGGAUGAGGAAGCACCCCAGCCUCCUCCUCAGAAGUCUAAGUUCAUGGGUGAUGCCAUUAAGGCUGGAGCCACUUCAAAGCCCAAGCAAUCUGCUCCAGCUAAGGCAGCUCCAGCAAAGCCUGCUGCCAAGCCCAAGAAGACAGUCAGAAACAUUCCAGCGUCUGAAAAGAACAAAGAUGAUGUGCCACCAGCUGUGUCAGAUGAUGAAGCACCAGUUUUGCUGAAACUUCGUCAAAAACUGCCACUACAUAAUGAUGCUCAUCCUCAAGCUGAGGAUAUGAAGGCAAGGAAGGAUAGAGGUCUCAGGCUAUGGAGACAAGCUGACCCAUAUGCCGUGAGGAGAAGAACUGCUGUUGAUCCCAGAUUUCACACCAGAGAGCAGCAGGACUUCUAUGAGACCGUGCUGAUGGAUAAGAAGCCCAUAGUCACAGACACAAGAUAUGUUGACUAGAAGUACAUUGAUAGCGAAGAGCACAGAGACUACUUUCCACAUGUGCAUGAAAGCUUCACUGCAUGUGGUGUUGCAGACUUUGUGGGUCAGAAGUUGACUAGUUGGAAUGAUGAGAUGAUUAUGCAAUUCUAUGCCACAGCUCACUUCUACCCAGAUGGAAGGAUUGUAUGGAUGACUGAAGGCCAAAGAUUUUCUUCAACUAUUGAAGAAUGGGCAGAACUUCUGAAUGCUCUAGUGCAAAGAGAAUAUGAUAUUGAUGUAUAUGGGAUUCCAAAGAAGAAUCAUGAAUCCAUGAAGAACAUGUACAAAGAAGUUCCAGCUAAGGAUUUGGGAAUCUGGAAGCUCGGCUUAGUUUACUAUCUCCAGGCAGGUCUACCUACCACAAACACUAUUUUGAGGCAUACCUUGAUGCCCAAGUCUAGAGAUCAUCGCAUGAUCAGAGGAUACUCUAUCAACAUGCUGCAUAUACUUGAUGAGAAAGCACCUUUCAAGGUGAUGGACUUGAUGGUUGAGACCAUUAAGAGGACUGCAGCUGACCAGAAAAGGUCGUGUGGAUUCGCCCCGCAGAUUCAGAUGCUUAUCAAUGCCAAGUUUGGCACGGGCACAUUCUUGUUGGAUAGAGAACACUUACCACUGCAGCCUGAGCAUGAGGACAAUGUUGUUGUGAUGGAUGAGGAGGAUCCAACAUCGGUUGAAGGUCAAGCCAAGAUUGAAGCUGCCAAGAAAGCCAAAGCUGACAAGGAAGCAGCAGCAGCAGCAGCUAAACCAAAGAGUGUCGGAGAGCAGCUUCUUGAAGCUACCCAAAGGAUUGAACAACGCCUGGCCAGCAUCGUACAGUCUCAGGAGAGCCUAGAGAGGAUUGUUGAAGACAAGAUCCACGCUCUGGAUGUGAAGCUGACUGAAGUGCAAGUGACUGUCAACAAGCUUGAGGCAGACAUUGAGGAAGCAAAGAGGGAGAAGGAAGAGCUUAUGCGUGAGAUGCAGGAUGACUUAGUCCAGGAUGCUUAUCAACAGACUGCUCCGGUUCCCACAGGACCCCGAUCAGCUGCUAUUCCAGUGACUGACACCAGGACUACAGCUUCAGCACCUCCCACAGUUCCAUCAGUUGCUACAACUCCAGCUCAAGUGACCACUCCUCCAGCACAGACAUCAGCUGAAGUCUUCGCCGAUGCUGUCAUAUCAACUCCAACAUCAACCCAGACGGGAGCCGCCAGCAGAGUCCCCAGUGACGCUUAGCUCUAUGCGGUUUCGAACUUUUUGGUAACUUGUUGCCAAAGGGGGAGAAAUUGUAUAGAUCAUAGGACUUCGAGAGAGAGAGUGCUGUUGUCUUCGCGCUUUUGCUCUUUCGUUCUUUUGCGGUUUCUUUGAGAUACUUUUGGUUUUCGAGCCAUUCAGUGUGUUUGAUACUACGUUUCAUUCUACUUUAAUGAGUGCUUGGUCGUAUUAUGCUUUAAUGUGUGCUUAAUGCUUAUCAUAUGCUAUUCCUAUCUUGUAUGACCAUUUACUCAUGUCUUGGUGAUUGGGUGCAUGCUAUUCAUUCUUAUCAUUUUGUGCGCUCCACCAAGAUGUAUGUGACAUGGAAGAGUGACCCAUGAUCCUAAUCGAUUGUGCAUUUGCAUUCAAACGCAAAUCUUAAAUAAUGCACAAAUUUAGGGGGAGCUCUUGCUUAUCACAUACUUCUCAAAGCGACGAUAUUAUUCAUUGAUUAUAUCCUUUGUCGAAGCUUUGAUCUAUAUGUUGUCAUCAAUUACCAAAAAGGGGGAGAUUGAAAGUGCAACUAAUCCCCGGGUGGUUUUGGUAAUUAAUAACAACAUAUAUAUCAUUGAACUAAUAGUUACUUGAGAAUCAUUUCAGAAAGUUCAGUGAUAUGGGUAUGGCAAGGACUGAAGAAGUGGACCCCUCAAAAUGCUAAGGCAAGCAUUGGCAAAAGCUCAAGACUCCAUUUUUGGUUUAGUGAUCCAAGAUCACAUUGAGUCCAUAGGAAAGCCAAUACUAUUAAAAGGGGAUGAGGUUAUGAUGAUGAUCUGGUUGCUCAAAGUGCUUAGUGAUACAUCUCCUAAACUAUCAGCAACUUUCACUGCCAUAUACACUCAUAAGUAAUCUCGGUCCCACCAAUAUUCCAAACUCAGUCACACCGAGAUGAACCACCUCAGCCACAAAGCCAAACCCUAGAAAACUCAGAUUUUCCGAUUCCAAACUCGGUCUCACCGAAACUUGAGUUGCCAAGCUUCUGUAACCUUCUGUCAUCAAAUCGGUGUCACCGAGAUGAUGAAGUCGGUCCCACCGAGAUUGGCAAGCUCUUGUCUUUGCACGAAUCGGACAAACCGAGAUUGUAUUUUCGGUCCCACCGAAAAUCCCAACGUUCACAUUAUUUGAACUUUCGGUCUCACCGAGUUGUCAACUUCGGUCUCACCGAGAUUGGUCAAAUGUGUGUAACGGUUGGAUUUUGUGUGGAGGCUAUAAAUACCCCUCCACCCCCUCUUCAUUCGUGGAGAGAGCCAUCAGAAAGAACUACCACUCCUACCUUACAUUUCUGAGAAGAGAACUACCUACCCUUGUGUUGAGAUCAAGUUGCUCCACUCCCAUCAUACGAAUCUUGAUCUCUAGCCUUCCCAAGUUGCUCUCCACUCAAUCCUUUCUUCCACCACAGCCAAAUCAGUGAGGAGAGUUGAGUGUUGGGGAGAUUAUCAUUUGAAGCACAAGAGCAAGGAGUUCAUCAUCAUCAACACCAUCUAUUACCUUUUGGAGGGUGGUGCCUCCUAGAUUGGUUAGGUGUCGCUUGGGAGCCUCCGUCGAGAUGUGGAGUUGAACCAAGAAGUUUGUAAGGGCAAGGAGAUCGCCUACUUCGUUAAGAUCUACCCCGAGUAAGGCUAGUCCUCCGUGGGCGUAGGCCAUGAUGGCAUAGACAAGGUUGCUUCUUCGUGGACCCUUCGUGGGUGGAGCCCUCCGUGGACUCUCGCAGCCGUUACCCUCCGUGGGUUGAAGUCUCCAUCAACGUGGAAGUACGAUAGCACCACCUAUCGGAACCACGAGAAAAAUCUCCGCGUCUCCAAAUUGCGUUUGCUCUUCUCCACCUCUCUUUACUACAUGUGCAAUUUACUUUCCGCUGCCUAUACUCUAGAAUUGCAUGUGUAGGGUGAUGCUUGACUUGAUCAAAAUUGUGAAUCUGCCAAAAACUGUUCUUUGUCAAAAGGCAUAAUCUUUUAUAUUGUCAAGUAGUCUAAUCACCCCCCCUCUAGACAUACUUCCGAUCCUACAGACUACUACCUGUGUUAUCCUGCAAUUCUCACAAACACAUUAGUACCUCAACCACGUUUGUCAUCAAUACUCCAAAACCAAACUAGGGGUGGCACUAGAUGCACUUACAAUCCCUUCUCUCUUUUUCUCUCUUUUAUUAUUUUUUCUUCUUUUUUCUUUUUUUCUUUCUUUUUCUUUUCUUUCUUUGGCCUUUCUUUUUUCCCUUUUUGGCCUUUCUCUUUUUUCUUCUUCAUUUUUUUUCUUUUUGUAAAGUCCGAAGUCUUAUCCCGACUUGUGGGGGAAUCAUAGUCUUCAUCAUCCUUUCCUCACUGGGACAGUGCUCUAAUAAUGAAGAUCAUCACACUUUUAUUGAUUUACAACUCAAGAAUUACAACUCAAAGAUAGAACAAGAUAUGACUCUAUAUGAAUGCCUCCGGCGGUGUACCGGGAUAUACAAUGAAUCAAGAGUGACAUGUAUGAAAAUUAUGAAGGUGGCAUUGCCACAAAUACGAUGUCAACUACAUGAUCAUGCAAAGAGCAAUAUGACAAUGAUGAAGCGUGUCAUAAUAAAUGGAACGGUGGAAAGUUGCAUGGCAAUAUAUCUCGGAAUGGCUAUGGAAAUGCCAUAAUAGGUAGGUAUGGUGGCUGUUUUGAGGAAGGUAAAUAAUGGUUGCAUGAUACCGGCGAAAGUUGCGCGACACAAUAGAGGCUAGCAAAGUGGAAGGGUGAGUGUGCGUAUAUCCAUGGACGCACAUUAGUCUUAAAGAACUUAUAUACUUAUUGCAAAAGUCUACUUAGCCCUCAAAGCAAAGUACUACUACGCAUGCCCCUAGAGGGAUAGAUUGGUAGGAAAAUACCAUCGCUCGUCCCCGACUGCCACUCAGAAGGAAGACAAUCAAAAGAGCACCUCAUGCAACAAAUUUGUCACACAACUUUUACCAUACGUGCAUGCUACGGGACUUGCCAACUUCAACACAAGUAUUUUUCAAUUUCAUAAUUACCCACUAGCAUGACUCUAACAUUACUACCUCUAUAUCUCAAAACAAUUAUCAAGCAUCAAAUUGAUCCUAGUGUUUUAUGCACUUUCUAUGAUAGUUUUUAUUAUACCCAACUUGGAUGCUCAUCAUUCUAGGACUAAAUUUAUAACCAUAGCAAAUACCAUGCUGUUCUAAGAGACUCUCAAAAUAAUAUAAGUGAAGCAUGAGAGAUCAACAAUUUCUUCAAAAUUAGGCCACCGUCGUGCUCUAAAAGAUAUAAGUGAAGCACUAGAGCAAAAACUAUCUAGCUCAAAAGAUAUAAGUGAAGCACAUAGAGUAUUCUAACAAAUUCUAAUAAAGUGGUCUUCUCCCAAAAGGUGUGUACAGCAAGGAUGAUUGAGGUAAACUAAAAAUCAAAGACUAAUAUCAUACAAGACGCUCCAAGCAAAACACAUAUCAUGUGGCGAAUAAAAAUAUAGCUCCAAGUAAAGUUACCAAUGAACGAAGAUGAAACAGGGGAUGCCUUCCGGGGGCAUCCCCAAGCAUAGGCUUUUGGAUAAUCUUGAAUAUCUUGGGGUGCCAUGGGCAUCCCCAAGCUUAGGCUUUUGCCACUCCUUAUUCCAUAGUCCAUCAAAUCUUUACCCAAAACUUGAAAACUUCACAACACAAAACUCAACAGGAAAUCUCAUAAGCUCCGUUAGUGAAAGAAAACAAAACCACCACAUAAGGUACUGUAAUGAACUCAUUCUUUGUUUAUAUUGGUGUUAAAUCUACUGUAUUCCAAGUUCUCUAUAGUUCAUACCACUUAAUACUAGCCAUAGAUGCAUCAAAAUAAGCGAACAACACACGAAAGGCAGAAUCUGUCAAAAAUAGAACAGUCUGUAGCAAUCUAUAACUAACGCAAACUUCCGGAACUCUAAAAAUACUACCAAAAUAGGAAGUCCUGCUCAAUUUGUCUAUUGAUAGCAGAAAAAAGAAUCAACGCAAAAUCACGUUUCUGUGAUUUAACAAAACUAAUUUUGUGCGUGCAAAGUUUCUGUUUUUCAGCAGAAUCAAAUUAAUUAUCACCAUAGGUUAUCCUAUAGGUUCUACUUGGCACAAACACUAAUUAAAACAUAAAAACACAUCUAAACAGAAAGUAGAUGCAAAAUUUAUUACUAAACAGAAACAAAAACAAAAAACACAAAUAAAAUUGGGUUGCCUCCCAACUAGCGCUAUCGUUUAACGCCCCUAGCUAGGCAUAAAAGCGAAGAUAGAUCUAAGUAGUGCCAUCUUUGGCACUCAAUUCAUAAGUAGCCCGCAUGAUAGAUUCAUAAGGUAAUUUAACUUUCUUUCUUGGAAAGUGCUCCAUGCCUUUCUGUAAGUGCAUCUAGUGCCACCCCUAGUUGGUUUUGGAGUAUUGAUGGCAAAGUUGGUUGAGGGACUAAUGCGUUUGUGAGAAUUGCAGGAUAACGCAGGUAGUGUCCCUCAUUGAUUCGGUUUACCUACCGGAGAUGACCCCUAAAAAUGUAUGAAGACAUUGAAGACAAUGGUGGUAUGAGAAGAUAUUCAUAUUGAAGACUAUGACAUGAGAAGACAUUGCGUGAAGACUAUGGAGCACGAAGACUGUGUGGUUUCGUUGUUUCCUCUUCUUUGUUGAGUCAUAGGAACCACCGUACUGUUAAGUGGGGUCCAAGUGAACUAAUUCAGAAUGACUGAAGUGAUGCUCAACCCAAAUCCUAUGUCUUCGAGCGAAGACAAUGAGAGCAAAUCUUAUCCAAAGCUGGAUGAGUCAGCUUUGCUUGUAGCCCAAGUAAAGUUGCCGUGUGUGUUUGAAAUCUGACCGUUGGAACACGUGUCAGUUCCUUAGUGACCCAGGGUCAUUUAGGACAUAUCAGGUCGGGUUGCCUAGUGGCUAUAAAUAUCCCACCCCCUUCACCAUAAAUUGGUGGCUGCUCAGAGUUAGUGUACGGCUUUUGUCGUUUGAGAGCAGCCCACCUCGAAUCCUUUGAGAGAGAGAAAUCCUUGCGAGGACAAAGCCCAAACACCCAGAGCCAAAGAGUGUUAGGCAUCACUAAAGUCUUUCUGUCUGUGUGACCUGAAGACUUAUUACACUUGAGGACUCUUAUUCCUCCAUCCGGUUAGGCGUCGCAUUCUGAGCAUCCAAGAGUCAUUGUGGAUCGCCGGUGAACGAAGUCUGUGAAGGUUUGGAAGUCUACCUUGAAGACUUACCAGAGUGAUUGGGCGAGGACUGUGUGUCCUUAGCUCAAGGGGAAUAAGGUGAAGACACGGUCUUCUGAGUUGAAUCUCAGCCUCCCUAACCAGAUGUACAAUUGUCACAGCAACUGGAACUGGUCCAACAAAUCCUGUGUCUUCAACAAGUGACUGGUUCUAUCCUCUCCCUUCCUUUACUUAAGUUUGUCUUCGUGAAGUCAUUGCCUAUCUGUCAUACCUGUUUGACUUCAUUGCCUGACUACUACUAUUGAUUGGCUUCAUACUAUCUUCCAUCUUAUCCUUACUACUUAGCUGCUAUUAGUCCUGUAGUUUCACAUCAUUGCAUACUUGGCUAUGGUUUUCUUAUUGUAGUUUAUCUUCCGCUGCAUAUUAAUUAGGUCAUUUCUACUGUUUGUCUUCGAAACUAUCAUGUUUUGAAGACUUUCAUAAAAAUCGCCUAUUCACCCCCCUCUAGUCGAUACUAGCACUUUCAAUUGGUAUCAGAGCAAGGUACUCCCUUGUUCUGUGUGAUUCGGUUUAACCACCUGGAAUUUUAGCUAUGUCGACUGCAGGGAUAAUCAAGGUCUCCGCUGCUUGCCCCGUGUUCGAUGGAACUGAAUGUCCCUGGAAGAAUAAGAUGCGUAUGCAUCUUGAAGCCAUUGAUGUCGACCUCUGGUAUGUCGUCAAGAACGGCGUGCCCAAAACUGGUGAAGGUGUCACCCCUACUGAUGUCAAGAAGUUCAUUCAACUGGACUCUACUGCAAAGAACAUCAUCUGUGGUCAUCUGACCAAAGGACAGUAUGGCCGUGUGAGUGCUCUGGAAACGUCAAAGCUAGUAUGGGACUGGCUAUCCAAGGUCAACGAAGGCGUCUCAACCCAGAGAGAUCAAAGAAUCAGUGUUCUUUGCAACCUCUUCAACCGUUUCAAGAGAAACGAUAAUGAAAAUGUCUAGCUCACGUUCGAUCGCCUCACUGACAUCACAAAUGAACUUCAAGCUCUUGGCGCAACCGAAAUUACCAAGCAUGAAAUCGUCAAGACACUACUGAGAUCACUUGACAGCUCCUUUGACACCCUUGCCCUCAUGAUACAAGAACGUCCUGACUUCAAGACACUUGAUCCGUCUGAUAUACUUGAGAGGCUCAACACACAUGAGUUCCAGCUUUCUGAGAAAAGAGAUAUCUAUGGUCCAAACUAUGGCCGAACUCGUGCUUUGAAGGAAAAAGUUGUUUCCUCAUCUGAAGAAGAAUCUGACUGCAGUUCUGAUGAUCCUGAAGACAUUGGAAAGGAACUUGCUAUGCUUGUGAAGAAGUUCCAGAAGUUCACCAAGAAGAAAGGCUUCAGAAAGUCUUCACGAUCCAGCUCACGAAAUGAUGAAGCUUCCACUCAUGACCACUAGAAGAGAACAUGUCACAAGUGCAAGAAACCUGGACACUAUAUCUCUGAGUGUCCAUAGUGGGACUAUGAGAAGAAGAAGAAGAAGAAGAGCAAGGAAUAUGACUCUGAUGACAAGAAGAAGAAGAAAUCUUCAAAGUCUUCUUCCAAGUCCUCAUCAAGGUCUUCAUCUCAUAAGAAGAGCUCAUCAGGCAAGGCUCGUGCUUUUGUUGGCAAGGAAAUGGAUUCAGAAGAGGAGUCUGCUUCUAAGGAGGUGGAAGUGGAGUCUGGAGAGGAGUCUGACCCUGGCGUUGCAAGUCUGGCUCUAGCCACAGCCUAUGUUGCCAAGUCCAUCUUCAACACUGAAGACAAUGACUUCCUCACCAACAUUGAAGCUGAUGAUGAAGACGAUCCUACUCCCACCUACUGCUUCAUGGCACGUGGUGCCAAUGUAAAAUCACGUGAUGCUUACUUUCAAACAUCAAGUGAAGAUGACUCUGAUUGUGAAUCCAAACCUAGCUACAAAACACUUGCUAAAAUUGCAACUGAACAACAAAAGGCUAUGGAACAUACUCAAAAACUGUUAGACAAAAGCGAUGACCUAUUGGACGCGGAAAUGACACGUUCACAGUCCUUAGUUGAAGAUAUUAAGAAUCUUCAUGCUAAGUACCAAGAACUUGAAAGUCGUCAUGAAACGCUCUCAACCACUUAUGAAAAGCUCUCCUAUGAUUAUCUUCAAAGGAAGCAAGAGCUUGAGAAAUUGAGAGCGGCUCAUGAAGAUCUUCAAAAAGAGAAUGAGUCACUUCGCGCUCAACAGAUCAGUCCCGCUCAGGAUGGAUUUGAACCACCAUGUCUAAAACGCAUUGAGCGUGAUAACACUACAUUUGUUGCUGAAUGUUCCACUACUGCUACUGUUUCAUUGUCUUCACCUACUGAUGUGGUUACUAACCCCUCUGUGGAGGAUACCACUACUAUUGCUGAUGAAAAUGCUAUGUUGAAGACAUUGCUUGAAACAGGGAUGUAUAAAAAUCUGAAAGGGCAUCAGACACUUUGCGAUGUCCUCAAAAGGCAGAUUCUGAACCGAAACCCUAGCAAAGAGGGUGUUGGGUUUGAGAGGAAAAUGAAUGUUGAUGGCUCGUACUGGAAGCCUGAGCAGUAUCCCAAAACCAUGUGGGUUACUGCAAAGGAACCUUCAGUAGAUCCAUCCACUUUAUCUGGCUUUACCCGUGCUAAUCCUAUUAGCAUUGAUGAAUCCUUUGAUGCAAACUAUAAGUUGUUCAAGAAUCAGAAUGGUGAAGUGUUUGCCAGGUAUAUUGGUACUAACUACAGGAAUGGACCACCUAUGAAGAAGAUCUGGGUACCUAAGCAGUACAUUGAGAAUCUUCCUGUGAAUGUCGUCAUGACACCACCAAGGAAGAAGACAAACCCCAGACCUAUAGCUUCAUAUGGCCCAAAGGCUUCAUACAGAUACAUGACUCACUUGAGUCACCCUAACGCCAAUGUUUUGCAGGGAAAUCAUGCUCAGACUUAUGAAUAUGAGCGUGUGUCUUUGAACCGAUAUGUCCAUAGAACUAAGAACUUUUCUGCUUAUUCAUAUGAGUAUCAUUCAUCUCCUGCAAGGCUAUUUGCUAGGGCUCCAAAGCCAAAAUUCUCAGAUGCUGCACUUAGACUCAUUGCUUCCAAGCCACCCCUGAAAAUGUGGGUGGCGAAGAAGAAUUAACUUUCUUUUGCAGAGAAAGGUCUCCAGCCUGCAAUCAAAGGCGUCCGAUGCUAUUGCUGGGGACCUAAAACACAUUAAGGACACAUGAUAAAAUGUCUUACUAUAUACAUUACAUCUGAAUCGCUUACCAGUCAUACUAUGUGUCCUAAUCUUGAUCUAAGCUGUGAUAGUCCCUAUAUGUGCCAAAUGCUUAUGCUUCACAACACUCUUGUGAAGCCUAUCCUCCUAACUGCACUGUAGGGUACAUCACCAGAAGCUUCAGAAUGGAUUAUGGACAGCGGAUGCACAAAUCAUAUGACUGGUGAUCGAAGUCUUCUCAUGGACUCAACCUUACAUCCAUCUGACAAGAGUCACAUCAUGUUUGCUGACACUGGUAAAAGCAAGGUAUUGGGUCUAGGUAGAGUUGCAAUCUCAAAGGAUCAACACAUGUAUAAAGUGAUGCUUGUUGAAUCCCUUGGUUUCAACUUAAUGUCUGUCUCAAUGCUUUGUGACUUGAACAUGAUUGUGCUAUUCGAAAAGUAUCGUUGCCUUGUACUAAUGGAAUCUGACAAGUCUCUAGUCUUUGAAGGGUAUCGAAAAGAUGAUCUAUACAUGGUAGAUUUCUCAGCAGGUCCACAGCUUGCCGUAUGUCUUCUCACAAAAGCUUCAGAAUGCUGGCUCUGGCAUCGAAGGCUGGGGCAUGCUAGCAUGAGGAACUUACACUCACUCGUCAAGAAGAAGCAUGUCAUAGGCAUCAAGGAUGUCAAGUUCAAGAAGGAUCAUUUGUGUGGUGCCUGCGAAGCUGGAAAGAUGACAAGGGCAAAGCACCCCUCGAAGACAAUCAUGACAACAUCUCAACCCUUCGAGCUGUUGCACAUGGACUUAUUUGGACCUACUCACUACUCCACCCUCACAACAACUGCUUGUCUCUAUGGUUUCGUCAUUGUUGAUGACUACUCAAGAUACACAUGGGUUCAUAUAAUUCUCUAUAAGACUGAAGUGCAAGAUGUCUUCAGAUGCUUCGCCAAUCGAGCAAUGAACAAUUACGGUGUAAAGAUCAAGCAUAUCAGAAGUGAUAAUGGCACUGAAUUCAAGAACACCAGACUUGAUCUUUAUCUGGAUACAAUGGGGAUCAUUCAUGAGUUCUCUGCUCCUUACACACCUCAACAAAAUGGCAUCGUUGAACGCAAGAACAGAACUCUCAUUGAGAUGGCUCGAACAAUGCUCGAUGAAUAGAAGACACCAAGAAAGUUCUGGCCUGAAGCUAUUGAUACAGCAUGUCACAUCAUCAAUCGUGUCUACAUCCAUAAGCUUCUGAACAAAACAUCCUAUGAGCUCCUUACUAGCAAGAAGCCAAAUGUCAGUUACUUCAGGGUAUUUGGAGCUAGGUGCUGGAACAAGGACCCCCAUCACAAGUCAAAAAUUGCACCUAAAGCUCACGAAGGCUUCAUGCUUGGCUAUGGAAAGGACUCACACUCCUACAGAGUCUUCAACCUCUAUCUCUACAAAAUCGUCGAAACUGUGGACGUGAGAUUUGAUGAAACCAAUGGUUCACAAAGAGAACUCCUGCCAAGUACACUAGAUGAAGCUCCUCCAAGCGAAUCUAUCAAGCUGAUGGGAACUGGUGAAAUCAUGCCUUCUGAAGCACAGCCUGAAGAGGAACUUAUCAUUUCUGCACCAAAUCAACCUGAAGACAGUGCUCAGACCGAAGAAAAUCCUCUCAAUGAUGACAAUGAUCAGCAAGAGCAAAGUCUUUGUCCGGUUCAUCCUCGUGUUGCAAAUGAAGUACAAAUUGAGAAGAUAAUUGACAGCAUCAAUGCGCCUGGUCCACUUACUCGCUCAAGAGCAACACAGUUAGCAAACUUUUGUGGGCACUUUUCAUUUGUGUCAAUACCAGAACCCAAGAAAGUUGCUGAAGCUUUUAUGGAACCUGAAUGGAUUCAAGCUAUGCAAGAAAAAUUUCAAUAGUUCAAGCUAAACAAUGUUUGGGAACUUGUCAAGCGACCUGACCCUCUGAAGCAUAACAUUAUUGGAACAAAAUGGAUAUAUUGAAACAAGCAAGAUGAGCAUGGUCAAGUCGUCAGAAACAAAGCACGUCUUGUGGCUCAAGGAUAUACUCAAGUUGAAGGAAUUGACUUCGAUGAAACAUUUGCUCCUGUGGCUAGGCUUGAAGCCAUUCGCAUACUGCUAGCCUACGCUAAUCAUCACAACAUCUUGCUAUAUCAAAUGGAUGUGAAGAGCGCAUUUCUCAACGGCAAGAUUGAAGAAGAAGUAUAUGUAGCUCAACCACCUGGCUUUGAAGAUCCAAAACAUCCUAAUAUGGUGUACAAGCUAAACAAAGCACUGUAUGGCCUCAAACAAGCUCCUCGCGCAUGGCAUGAUACGAUCAAAGACUUCCUGAAGAGCAAAGGCUUCAAACCAGGAUCCCUCGAUCCCACACUCUUCACGAAGACAUAUGAUGGUGAACUGUUUGUUUGCCAAAUAUAUGUGGAUGACAUAAUCUUCGGCUGCACCAACCAGAAGUAUAGUGACGAGUUUGGGUACAUGAUGCAAGAGCAAUAUCAGAUGUCCAUGAUGGGUGAGAUGAAGUUCUUCCUUGGUCUUCAAAUUCGUCAGCAAAGGAAUGGCAUCUUCAUAUCUCAAUAAAAAUACCUCAAAGAUUGUCUGAAGAAGUUUGGAAUGGAAGACUGCAAAGGUUACACGACGCCAAUGCCAGCCAAACACCAUCUUGGUCCCGACGACAAUGGUAAAGAGUUCGAUCAAAAGGUAUACCGCUCCAUGAUUGGUUAUUUACUUUAUCUAUGUGCAUAUAGGCCAGAUAUUAUGCUUAGUGUUUGCAUGUGUGCUCGAUUCCAAGCGGCACCAAAGGAAUCACAUCACUUAGCUGUGAAGCGAAUUCUUCGAUAUUUGGCUUACACCCCAACACUCGGAUUAUGGUAUCCCAAGGGCUCAAAAUUUGAUUUGGUUGGAUUCUCGGAUGCUGAUUAUGCUGGUGACAAGGUGGAUCGCAAGUCUACAUCAGGCACAUGUCACUUUCUGGGAUGAUCACUUGUCUGUUGGUCUUCGAAGAGGCAGAACUGUGUAUCACUCUCAACUGCUGAAUCUGAAUACAUUGCUGUUGGAUCUUGUUGCGCUCAGCUUCUAUGGAUGAAGCAAACUCUCAAGGGCUAUGGCAUCAAUCUGAAACAAGUACCUCUCUUCUGCGACAACAAAAGUGCCAUCAAGAUAGCCAACAAUCUAGUUCAGCACUCAAAGACAAAGCACAUUGAAAUUCGUCAUCACUUUCUCAGAGAUCAUGUCAUGAAGAAAUAUAUCGACAUCAUUCAUGUCAACACUGAAGAGCAACUGGCAGAUAUCUUCACAAAGCCCUUGGAUGAGAAAAGGUUUUGCAAGUUACGUGUGAGCUAAAUAUCUUGGAAUCCUCUAAUGUUCUGUGAUCAGGCACACAUCCUAACACUUAUGCAUGUUGAUGACUUAGAUGUGCAACACACAAAGUACUGUAUAUCUUCAACCAAUGAAGACUUACAUUCUGAGUGUGAAUACAUUAACAUGGAAUUUGAAUUCGGAGCGCCACGAUAAUUGUGUGCCGUGUCUGGGUCUAAUACUUCCUAUACGGUGGGUAACGCCACCACAAAAUUUCUCUGUUUGAAGUGUUUCACUCAUGGCGUUAUUUUGCAAUUACUUUGCAUUUGGUUUGUCUUCAGUUUCAAUUUAUCUUCAUGAUUCUCUUCACUAUGAUGAUUUGAUUGCUUUAUGAUAUACUAGUGUUCUGGCCUCUACAGCAUUCACUUAUAGCUAUGUCUUCAAGUUGAAUCUUUUGAACUAAGUGAAUGUGAUCGGACCCUAACCUCUCUAUGCUUUCAAUCUCAAACUCUAUCUGUCCAAAUCAUAUGCAUUCUCUUGAAACUGUCGAAUGUCUUCUCUGCAUCCUAGUCAGCAGAAGGCGCAGAGACAAACAUUAAGUCUGUUUUAAAUAACUUAUCUUUACUGUUGAAAUCCGGAGAAGCCGGAACAACUAUCCGACAUGUCUGGCGGGCGUGGGAACGUGGGACAACUCUGAGUAUGUUGCAUGCUUGCCACGUGCUCCUCAGAUGUGAACCGCCAGGGGCACCAGCGUAAUUGCGCUGUGCCGCACACCUCCUUAUAAAUACUUGUCCCCUGCGGUAAAGAAAUCCUUCUUCCACCUCUCCACCUCGUCAAAACCCUAGCGCCACCGCUAGCUCUCGACGACGCCGGCGACGAAGCGCUUAGCUGCCGCGACUUCUCCAACGCCGUCCUCACGCCGGCCGCGGACAUCAUCCUCUCCGCCGUUGCCGUAGGUGUCCUCCGUCACCAAGUUAGGACACGGUGGACUGAACUUCUCGGUCACCUAUUCAUCCCAUCUAGCAGUUCUUCGUGCGGUAAUUGUAACUCUGUUUUUACCACCUUUUUGAUCUUCAAGAUUUCAUCCUAUUUACCGAAAGUGGUUUCUGCCUACACAGUGUUAGAUCUAUUUUGUCUGCAUCUCAUACUGCCUAGUCUAUUCACUUAGAUUUCAUAUCUAGUUUGAUUCCUCACUUGUAUUUAUUCACGGAUUCGUACAAAUCUGGAACCAACUCACCCCAUAUAAGUGAAUGUCUUCGCAUCAUGAGGUCAAUGUCUUCAAACUGAUUUAUCUUCAAAAUCUUCUGAGAAUGCAUAUGACCUCUUCCCCUUACCUCGCAUCUCUAAUGCUGUCACAAGUACAUGUCUGUGGGAGAAUCCCUUGGUUCUCAUAGUCUGCAUUCGUUUGUAGAAUACUUACAGCAUCACAUUAACUCUCCCGAAGCCAGUUCUUGCUUGACCAGCAAGCGUAAGUCUCUGAAGCUUUGAACGUAUUGAAGCCAUUCAGUUUGAAGUUCAUGGCUGCAGAAAAAUCAGUAAGGAAGGGUGGCAGACAACACCGAGAGGGAACAUCCAAAGAUCUGCCUGAUGACCUAGUAGAGCUCUACAAGACAGACCCUGAAGAGAAUUAUCAUCAGUGCAAGACACGAAUCCAAUGGAUUCGACGCUAUUGGGCUGAAGAAUGGUUCAACUACAAGUUCGUGACCAAGGAAUAUGCAGAGAAGAAUGCUAUCAAGAGUCCUUGGGGCGAUAUUCUCUAUCGAGGCCUUCAACCCAAGAACAGAGCUGAAGCUAUUGCACAAGGCUUCUAUCCUUGUAUGGUCCGUGGACCUCAGCCUGAGAACGCCGAUCCCUCAUCAUUACUCUGGUGUUGUGAUGAUACUCUCUUCAAGUGCAACUUUCAGCACGCCAAGGCUUCGGCCAAGGAAAACAAGAAGUCAUUGGGAUUAGACUUCAACCCUGGUCCCUCUGCUCCCCGUGCCGACGGCUCACGUGAUGCAGAACCUAAUGUCAUCGGGCCCUUCUCCAACCUUGAUGGCCUCAUCACCUACAUCUUGGUACAAGGUGCCAGGGUAGAUCAUUCUGAUAAUGAUGCUGACACUGAUGAAGCCCCAGCUCCUCCUCCAAAGCCGCAGAAGCAAAAGAAGCCAAAGGCUUCUAGAUCAGCACCUCCAAAAGCUUCACGUGCGAAGCCACUGGCCACUGCACCUCCUGAAGAUAGUGUGCAGUCUGAAGAUCGAUCACGUAUCUCCAAGAGGACAGAGAAGAAAAAGCAAAAUGUCAGGCAUACUGAUCAAACCUUGACUCCUGCUGCCAUUUUGCGUGAAGAACCCAUUGAUCUGUCCAGCGAUGAAGAUCUUGCAGAUGAUGGCCUUGAGCAACUGAUCAAAAGCAAGGAAGAAGCAGAGAUCUUCAACAACUUGCCUCUCUUUGAUGUGGCAAUCAUCCAUAACUUCAUUGAUGAGUGGUUUGACACACCAAAUCUUAGCUUUGAAGAUCUACAGCUUCCCACUGGCCUCAGCGUCUCUUUCAAUGGCGCCAUUGCUUCCGAGAUAGCUCUUGCUCAGCGCAUCGUUGAGCUGAAGAACAAAAUGGAUUAUGAGAAGGCUCAGUUCAAGAAGCAUGUGGCGAAGCUCAGUGUGCAAGAUGUCAGAAACUUCAAGGUCAUGCUGCAUGAGCUUAAAGAAGCCUUUCUCAAGAAGCGCCAAGAAGCUCAGGGCUCUCGCGAGCGCAUGAAGAGUUUGGCUGACAAAUGCGUGCUUGCAUACAAUGAGGCCGAGAAGCGCAAGUCUCUUGGUCGUCCUAGCAUUGACCCUAGGAUGGCUGCAAAGAAGAAGAAGCUCUCUACAGCCCAACCUGCACCUUCAAGCCAAGAAGCACCUCGCAUUGUCUUCCCAAGAAGCAUGACUGGCUCGAAGCCAAAGGUCACGUCAACCGCUUCAGAACAGAAGAAGACGAGGGCUGCCGAGGCUUAAGCCAGAAAGAGGAAGAAUACUGAAGCCUCUGAUGCCGCUCCCUCCAAGAAGAAGCGCAAGACCAAGAAGAAUAGGGCUGCUCCCACAGAGCCCUUGGUUGUUGAACCCAUCUCAGUGGUUCGCCCUGCGUAUGAACAUCAAGAAUGACGAAUGAUAGUUCAUGAGCCUGCUACCACAGAGGCCCAUGAAGCUGAAGACAUUCCAGCAGCUGAACCCACCGCUGCUGAAGACAUUGGUCAAGAUGACACUGUUGAAGAUGAUGAAGUUCUUCCUCAGAUCGAACACAACGUGGUAUCAUCGCCUGUUCUCACGAACAGCGAACUCAUCAGCAUUGGUCGUCCUCUAACGCCAACUGCUCAGGAUGCAUCGUGGGCUGAUCACCCAUAGCAACAAGACUCCCCAAGUACUCCCCAACAACAACAACAAGUUACACCACCCGUGCAAGUAGAAGAAGAAGACUUUAAGGCACAGCCAACUCCAUCUCCAAAGGCGUCGCCAGCAUUCCGCAGGCUUCGCAAAGGACAAAGGCCUCAAGUCCCUCUCGCGAGCGUUAUAGAAGGAGAAGUGCAUCACCAACCUAUUGCACGUCAAGUGUUUCCUGAAGCCACUCCAACUGUGAAUGUCUCCGUGUCUGAAGCCCAAGGUGCUGAAGACAAUCCGACUGCAUCAGCCGAUGAAAGACAAGAAGACGUACUCGUCCCUACUCCCCCAGUUAUUGAAGAAGUUGUUCCUGAUGUGAACGCACCAGUGCCCGACCCUCCAGCUCGUCAAGUGGAGGUUGAAAAUCCUGAAGCUGCCACUACCAAUGCAAGUGAAGCCAAUGACGUAGUCAUGGCUAAAGCUAAUGUGGAGCUUGCACCAACCAGUGUGCAUGAAGCUAAUGAGGCAACUGCUCCCGAAGCACCUAUUGUGCAGCCUGAAGCCUCAGCUGUUGCCACUGCUCCUGUUCCGCCACCAAGGCCCCAUACAAUUGAGCAAGCAUACAAUCAUGGUCAGCUAACCACUGUCCGAUGGCCCAUUCUGGUACCUCCGCCUACUGCCUCUAGACCUCAAUUUGAUUAUCAUGUUGAGCAUAGGCCUCAGGUCCAGAAACCAAAUCCAAUACUGCCAAGGUUCCCAGGUACUGCAAACUCUCCAGGGUCCUUCAAUGCUAAUGGCUUAAAAAGCCACAAUACCUUCUUUGAUAGCGCCAAGAACCCCUACUCAAAGCCAAGGAUAUCAUCUAAUCGGUUCUGGAGUUAUCAGCAGCGAAGCUAUUACUCCUGCGUUCUGUAUGAUCAAGGGCGCAUUUUCCCUCAUAUGCGCCUCGACACUGAAGCCAUUGCUGGACUGCCGUGCUUAGAAGAAGCACUUGACUGUUUUCGUGAUGCCGAUCUGCUCAGCUUUGUGAUAGACAAAGAACACUGGAAUGAAGAACUUUUGCUUCAAUUCUAUGCUACCCUCCACAUUCGCGGCUACAACAGAGACAUCAAGACAUGGGUUCUUGAGUGGAUGACUGGAAAUGUUCAUCAUGAAGCCAAAGCUCUUGACAUCAUUGAGCUUACUGGCCUACCCACUCCCGGAGAGCUAUAUGAACCUGACUGUCAACUACAUCGAAAUGCACUGGAGAGCAUCUUCCAUAAGCCUGAACCCAAUAUGAGCCAAAUGUUGAGCAUGAUGAAGCCUUUGCCAUCUGACGCUGAAUAUCCAACGGAGUUCUCUAUUGAUGACCUUGAGUACCUGCCUCGCACCAUAUAUCAUAUCAUCAGGCGAACUCUAUGGCCUAUCAAAGGACAUUCAUCAGCUGCAAAGCUUGAAGGAGCCAUGAAGACAUUGGUCUUCUACAUCCUCAAUGGCAUCGACUUCAAUUCCCAAGAAUUCUUCAUCAGGCAACUUGCUGUGUCUGGAUCUGACCUUUUUGGUCUGAAGUUCUAUGCUCCAUGGGUCAUGCGCCUCAUCAACCGACACUCAUCUGUCAACUAUCGGCCCUCUGCUCGCAAUCAUCAGAUCUUUUUGCCAGAGGUUGAUAUGUCAGUUGAAGCCAUAUAUUCUGACCCUGCCAAGAAGCCUCUUUGUCUUCAGAAUGUCGAGCACCAAAGCUUCACUCAACCCAUCGAAGGCGUCCAAGCAGCAACACGUAUCUAUCCAAUGGCUGGAAAUACUCGUCUCCCUCAUCGUGCGCAAACUGAAGCCACUGAAAGCACCAUUGCCCAAAGGCCUAAGAAGCGCUCUCGUGUUCUCAAUGACAGAGAACUUCUUGUGGCACUUCAUCAGAAACAAGAUAAGAAUCACUAUUGGCUCAAGAGACAGAUGCAAAGCCUCUUAGUGGAUGUCAAUCGCAUUCGAAAUCUUGCCACCAAGAAUGCCUUUGUUGCUCACGAGACUUGUCGGCGAUCAUGGAAGAGUUUGACGCUGCUUAGUGCUGAAGCAGAUCUUUAAGAUGAUGGCUUCGCUGAAAGAUUCCAGUUUGACUCCACUCCUCCACGGACUACUGUCCUACGUUGAACUCCAUCCCUUGAAGACUCUAACUAUUCUUCCUCCGCGGCAACUGUGAAUGCCAGAGUGAUCGAUGGUGAAGGUGAUGCUACUUCCCCGCCUCCCACUUCUGCACGCAUCAACACUACACCAAGUACGUCUGCACCGCCAACCAACAACGACAACCCUGCUGCUUCACCUACCCAUGAGGACGAGUAGAUGCUCUAUGUCUUCAAACCUUUUUGGUCAUUACUGACAAAAGGGGGAGAAGCGUAUGAGUUGAUAGUCUUCAAGCGGGUUCAUAUGGGCAGUUGCAUUAUAUUUUGCCUCGUGCUUACAACUCUUGAUUUUGAAACAUUUGGUUCUUUGAGUUGUAACACCUAAACUCGAUGGUCGUCUGCUACUUAUUUUCUUUACUGUGAUGCGAUGAUAAAUUCCACAUGUGCGAUGAUAACUUCCGCACUUAGAUCAUUCUGCAGAUGUCCAUUUUUCAUUAUGCAUGUCAUUCUACUUGCUAUAUCAUUUCAUGCAUGAUGAAUUAUCUUCAUAAGUUGAAGAGGAUCUCCACAAGUACAACCUGCCAUGUGCAUUUGCAUUCCAAAAGCAAAUUACUUAUAUGCACAUCUUCAGGGCGAGCCCUUGCUACUUAUGAAGACAAUACCCUAUCCUUUACAAUUUCACAUACUUUAUCCCCGUUGAAAACUUCAACCAGUUUGUCAUCAAUCACCAAAAAGGGGGAGAUUGUAAGUGCAUCUAGUGCCACCCCUAGUUGGUUUUGGAGUAUUGACGACAAAGUUGGUUGAGGGACUAAUGUGUUUGUGAGAAUUGCAGGAUAACGCAGGUAGUGUCCCUCAUUGAUUCGGUUUACCUACCGGAGAUGACCCCUAUAAAUGUAUGAAGACAUUGAAGACAAUGGUGGUAUGAGAACAUAUUCAUAUUGAAGACUAUGACAUGAGAAGACAUUGCGUGAAGACUAUGGAGCGCGAAGACUGUGUGGUUUCGUUGUUUCCUUUUCUUCUUUGUUGAGUCAUAGGAACCACCGUACUGUUAAGUGGGGUCCAAGUGAACUAAGUCAGAAUAACUGAAGUGAUGCUCCUAUGUCUUCGAGCGAAGACAAUGAGAGCAAAUCUUAUCCAGAGCUGGAUGAGUCAGCUUUGCUUGUAGCCCAAGUAAAGUUGCCGUGUGUGUUUGAAAUCUAACCAUUGGAACACGUGUCAGUUCCUUAGUGACCCAGGGUCAUUUCGGACAUAUCAGGUCGGGUUGCCUAGUGGCUAUAAAUAGCCCACCCCCUUCACCAUAAAUUGGUGGCUGCUCAGAGUUAGUGUACGGCUUUUGUCGUUUGAGAGCAACCCACCUUGAAGCCUUUGAGAGAGAGAAAUCCUUGCGAGGACAAAGCCCAAAUACCCAGAGCCAAAGAGUGUUAGGCAUCACUGAAGUCUUUCUGUUUGUGUGACCUGAAGACUUAUUACACUUGAGGACUGUGAAUCCUCCAGCCGGUUAGGCAUCGCGUUCUGAGCAUCCAAGAGUCAUUGUGGAUCGCCGGUGAACGAAGUCUGUGAAGGUUUGGAAGUCUACCUUGAAGACUUACCAGAGUGAUUGGGCGAGGACUGUUUGUCCUUAGCUCAAGGGGAAUAAGGUGAAGACACGGUCUUCUGAGUUGAAUCUCGGCCUCCCUAACCAGAUGUACAGUUGUCACAGCAACUGGAACUGGUCCAACAAAUCAUGUGUCUUCAACAAGUGACUGGUUCUAUCCUCUCCCUUCCUUUACUUAAGUUUGUCUUCGUGAAGUCAUUGUCUAUCUGUCGUACCUGUUUGACUUCAUUGCCUGACUACUACUGUUGAUUGGCUUCAUACUAUCUUCCAUCCUGAUCCUUACUGCUUAGCUGCUAUUAGUCCUGUACUUUCACAUCAUUGCAUACUUGGCUAUGGUUUGCUUAUUGUAGUUUAUCUUCCGCUGCAUAUCAAUUAGGUCAUUUCUACUGUUUGUCUUCGAAACUAUCAUGUUUUGAAGACUUUCAUAAAAAUCGCCUAUUCACCCCCCUCUAGUCGAUACUAGCACUUUCACUUUCCCUAAUGGAAAUUGGAAUCUAAUAUUCCCUUCCUUCAUAUCAAUAAUCGCGCCAAUCGUUCUAAGGUAAGGUCUACCAAGAAUAAUAGGGCAAGAAAGAUUGCAAUCUAUAUCAAGAACGAUAAAAUCUAUGGGCACCAAAUUUCUAUUUGCAACAAUGAGAACAUCAUUGAUCCUUCCCAUUGGCUUUAAUGGUGGAAUCCUCAAGGUGCAAAUUUAAAGAGCAAUCAUCAAGAUCAUGGAAACCUAGAAUAUCACAUAAAGUUUCCGGAAUCAUGGAAACACUAGCACCCAAAUCACACAAAGCAAAACACUCAUGAUCUUUAAUUUUAAUCCUUAUAGUAGGUUCCCACUCAUCAUUAAGUUUUCUAUGUAUAGAAACUUCCAAAUUAAGUUUUUCAUCAUAAGAUUGCAUCAAGGCAUCAACAAUAUGUUUGGUAAAAGCUUUAUUUUGACUAUAAGCAUGAGGAGAAUUCACAACCGGAUUGCAACAAGGAAAUACAAACUUCUAAAGAAAAAUUAUCAUAAUCAAAAUCCUUGAAAUCUGAGAUAGUGGGUUCAAUGCUAUUUAAAGUCAUGACCUCUCCAAUCCCACUUUUACCAAAUUUAGCAUCAAGAUCUAAAAACUCCGAAAUAUUGGGACGCCUUCUAACUAAAGUUGACUCAUCUCCAGUCCCAUUAUUAUCAAGAUUCAUAUUGCAAAACAAAGAUCUAAUAGGGGACACAAUAAUAACUUUAAGAUCUUCAUCAUUAUUUUCACGGAAACUAGAAGAACACGCCUUUACAAAGCAAUCUUUCUUGGCACGCAAUCUAGCGGUUCUUUCCUUGCACUCAUCAAUGGAAAUUCUCAUGGAUUUAAGUGACUCAUUGAUAUCAUGCUUAAGAGUAGUAGAUCUAAGUGUAAGAGAAUCAACAUCAUGCAAAAGUCUAUCAACGCUCCUAGCCAAAUCAUCAACUUUGAGCAAUUUUUCUUCAAGCAAAGCAUUAAAAUUAUUUUGAGAAAUCAUAAAUUCUUUCACACUAUUCUCAAAAUUAGAGGGCAUCUUAUUAAAAUUACCAUAAGAAUUAUUGUAGGAAUUUCCAUAAUUAUUAGAGGAAUUACUAGGGAACGGUCUAAGAUUAUAGUUUCCUCUAUAAGCAUUGUUUCCAAAACUAUUCCUACCAACAAAAUUCACAUCCAUAGAUUCAUUAUUAUUCUCAAUCAAAGUAGACAAAGGCAUAUCAUUGGGAACAAUAGGAGCACUCUUAGUAGCAAAUAUUUUCAUAAGUUCAUCCAUCUUUCCACUCAAAACAUUGAUUUCUUCUAUAGCAUGCACUUUUUUACUAGAAGAUCUUUCGGUGUGCCAUUGAGAAUAAUUAGCCAUAAUAUUAUCAAGUUUUGUAGCAUCUCCUAAAGUGAUUUCCAUAAACGUGCCUCCCGCGGCCGAAUCUAAAAGAUUUCUAGAAGCAAAGUUCAAACCGGCAUAAAAUUUUUGUAUGAUCAUCCAUAAAUUCAAACCAUGAGUAGGGCAAUUGCGAAUCACCAAUUUCAUUCUUUCCCAAGAUUGGGCAACAUGCUCAUGAUCAAGUUGUUUAAAAUUCAUAAUAUCAUUCCUAAGAGUGAUGAUCUUAGCGGGAGGAAAAUACUUAGAGAUAAAAGCAUCUUUGCACUUGUUCCAAGAACCAAUACUAUUUUUAGGCAAAGAUGAAAACCAAACUUUAGCACGAUCUCUAAGUGAAAACGGAAAUAACUUCAAUUUAACAAUAUCAUUAUCUGCAUCUUUCUUCUUUUGCAUAUCACACAAAUCAACAAAGUUGUUUAGAUGGGUAGCGACAUCUUCACUAGGAAGGCCGGCGAAUUGAUCUUGCAUAACAAGAUUCAGCAAAGUAGUAUUGAUUUCACAAGACUCAACAUCAUUAAGAGGAGCAAUCAGAGUACUAAGGAAAUCAUUAUUAUUGGUAUUGGAGAAAUCACACAAUUUGGUAUUAUCUUGCGCCAUGGCAACAAGUAAUCCAACACACAAGCAAAUAGAAAAAGGCAAGCGAAAAAGAGAGGAGAAGAUUGGGAAAGAGAGGGCGAAUAAAACGGAAAGGGUGAAGUGGGGGAGAGGAAAAUGAGAGGCAAAUGGCAAAUAAUGUAAAUGUGAUGGAGAUGAGUUUGUGAUGGGUACUUGGUAUGUCUUGACUUGAGCGAACACCUCCCCGGCAACGGCGCCAGACAUCCUUCUGGCUACGUGUUGAGCUUGUGCUGGUUUUCCUUGAAGAGGAAAGGGUGGUGCAGCAAUAGUAGCGUAAGUAUUUCCCUCAGUUUUUGAGAACCAAGGUAUCAAUCCAAUAGGAGGCUCCUCAAAAGUCCCACGCAUCUACACAAACAAACAAAGAACUCGCAACCAACACAAUAAAGGGGUUGUCAAUCCCUUCAUGGCCACUUGCGAAAAUGAGAUCUGAUAGAGAUAGUAUGAUAAGAUAAAUAUAUUUCUAGUAUUUUAUAAUAUAGAUUGGAAAAGUAAAGAUGCAAAUAAAAGUAGAUUGAAAGCUUAUAUGAUAAAAGAUAGACCCGGGGGCCAUAGGUUUCACUAGUGGCUUCUCUCAAGAUAGCAUAAGUAUUAUGGUGGGUGAACAAAUUACUGUCGAGCAAUUGAUAGAAAAGUGAAUAAUUAUGAGAUUAUCUAGGCAUGAUCAUGUACAUGGGCAUCACGUCCGUGACAAGUAGACCGACUCCUGCCUACAUCUACUACUAUUACUCCACACAUCGACCGCUAUCCAGCAUGCAUCUAGAGUAUUAAGUUCAUAAGAACGGAGUAACGCAUUAAGAAAGAUGACAUGAUGUAGAGGGAUAAACUCAAGCAAUAUGAUAUAAACCCCAUCUUUUUAUCCUUGAUGGCAACAAUACAAUACGUGACUUGUUGCCCCUGCUGUCACUGGGAAAGGACACCGCAAGAUUGAACCCAAAGCUAAGCACUUCUCCCAUGGCAAGAAAGAUCAAACUAGUAGGCCAAACCAAACUGAUAAUUCGAAGAGACUUGCAAAGAUAACUCAAUCAUACAUAAAAGAAUUUAGAAGAGAUUCAAUAAUUUCUCAUAGAUAAACUUGAUCAUAAACCCACAAUUCAUCGGAUCUCGACAAACACACCGCAAAAAGAGUUACAUCGAAUAGAUCUCCACAAGAGAGGGGGAGAACAUGGUAUUGAGAUCCAAAAAGAGAGAAGAAGCCAUCUAGCUAAUAACUAUGGACCCGAAGGUCUGUGGUAAACUACUCACAACUCAUCGGAGGGGCUAUGGUGUUGAUGUAGAAGCCCUCCAUGGUCGAUUCCCCCUCCUGCGGAGCACCGGCGAAGGCUCCAAGAUGGGAUCUCGCGGAUACAGAAGGUUACGGCGGUGGAAAUUGUUUUUCGUUGGCUCCCUGGAUGUUUUCGGGGUACGUGGGUAUAUAUAGGAGGAAGAAGUACGUCGGUGGCCGCCCAAGGGGCCCACGAGAUAGGGGGCGUGCCCAGGGGGUGGGCGCGCCCUCCACCCUCGUUGCCGCCUUGGUUGCUUCUUGGCUUGCACUCCAAUUCCUCUGGAUCAUGUUCGUUCCAAAAAUCGUGCUCCCGAAGGUUUCAUUCCGUUUGGACUCCGUUUGAUAUUCCUUUUCUUCGAAAUACUGAAAUAGGCACAGCAAUACGGGCUGGGCCUCCGGUUAGUAGGUUAGUCCCAAAAAUGAUAUAAAUGUGUAAAAUAAAGCCCAUAAACAUCCAAAAGGGUUAAUAUAAUAGCAUGGAACAAUCAAACAUUAUAGAUACGUUGGAGACGUAUCAGUAUGCUAUAAAGAAUAAUGAUAACCAUGAAACUUGUCAUCUUGAUUUUAGUUUUCAAUUGGAUUAUGCCUCACAUGAUAGUUAUUUUGUUGAGUUUGCUCCCACUACUAUUCAUGGGAAGAAUUUUGCUUAUGUGGAGAGUAAUAAAAAUUCUCUGCUUAUGCAUCAUGAAAAGAGUGCUUUAUGUGAUAGUUAUAUUGUUGAAUUCAUUCUUGAUGUUACUGAAAAUUACUAUGAGGGAGUAAUAUAUGCUUGUAGGAAUUGCAAUAAUAUCAAGUUUCCUCUCUAUGUGUUGAAAAUCUUGAAGUUAUGCUUGUCUUGCCUUCCUAUGCUAGUUGAUUCUUGUUCCCAUAAGUUGUUUGCUCACAAAAUACCUAUGCAUAGGAAGUGGGUUAGACUUAAAUGUGCUAGUCAUAUGCUUCAUGAUGCUCUCUUUAUGUUUCAAUUCUUAUCUUUUAUACGAGCAUCAUUGAAAUCAUCAUGCCUAGCUAAAAAGGCAUUAAAGAAAAGCGCUCGUUGGGAGACAACCCAAAACCAUUACCUACUGUUUUUGUGUGUUCACAUGAUUAUGCUACUAUAGUAAUCAUGUUUUAUAGCUUUUGUUUCAAUAAAGUGCCAAGUAAAGCCUUUGGGAUAGUGUGGGUGAUAGUUGACUUGAUUCUGUGCAAAAACAGAAACUUUUGCGCUCAGUCCAAGAAAUUUGAAAAUUCACUGGAACGUGCUUUUGAUCUCAUUUUUUACACAAGAUUGAUAUACAAAUUUCCUAAUUUUCCUAAUUUUUUAGAAUUUUUGGAGUUACAGAAGUAUGGAAACUUUCCAUAUUACUACAGAUUGUUUUGUUUUUGACAGAUUUUGUUUUCUAUGUGUUGUUUGCUUAUUUUGAUGAAUCUAUGAGUAGUAUCGGAGGGUAUGAACCACGGAGAAGUUGGAAUACACACCAAUAUGAAUUUAUAAUGAGUUCACAAUAGUACCUAAGUGGUGAUUUUAUUUUCUUAUACUAAGGGAGCUUACGAGUUUUCUGUUGUGAAGUUUUCAAGUUUUGGGUAAAGAUUCGAUGGACUAUGGAAUAAGGAGUGGCAAGAGCCUAAGCUUGGGGAUGCUCAAGGCACCCCAAGGUAAUAUUCAAGGACAACCCAGAGCCUAAGCUUGGGGAUGCCCCGGAUGGCAUCCCCUCUUUCGUCUUCGUUCAUCGGUUAAUUUACUUGAGGCUAUAUUUUUAUUCACCUCAAGGUAUGUGUUUUGCUUGGAGCGUCAUUUUCUUUUGUUUAUAUUUGCUUGCUAUUAUUCAGAGUCAAGUUUUAUAUCUUUUAGUUCAAUAGAAAAGUCAAGUAUAGCCUUUACCAUGCUUAUUUUACAAGUCUAUACGUUGAUGUUUCGAAAAUAGAAAGUUUGCUGUUAUGCUUUGUAUAUUAGUGAAUAGUUAGAACAUGAUAAAGCCUUGACAUUUUGACACAUGAGUAACAACAAUUUUUUUACAGUGUGGUAAUUUUUCAGAAUUUUUAGAGUUAGGGAAGUAUGAUUCCUCUUGCAUUCUUUAUAGACUGUCCUGUUUAGACAGAUUGCUGUUAUGUUUGCAAUGUUUGCAAAUGUUUGCUUGUUAAUGAUUCUAUUUGAGGAUAGAAGUGUUAAAUAUGGAGAUGCAUUUAGUAUGCAAUAUCAAAUAAUAGUUUUAGUGAUUUGCUACAGUAGAGAAUGAUAAGGUUAUUGCGUUGAUUUAUACUAACUUAUCUCACUAGUUCUUAUUGAGUUUUGUGUGGAUGAAGUUUUUAAGAUUUAGGUAAACCGUGAUAUAAAAGGAAUUAAGGAGACACAAAAGCUAAAGCUUGGGGAUGCCCAAGGCAUCCCUAACUAAUAUUUCAAGAAGUCUCAAGUAUCUAAGCUUGGUGAUGCCCGGUAGGCAUCCCGCCUUUGUUCUUCAACAACUAUCGGUUAGUUUUGGUUGAGCCUAAGUUUUUGUUUCUUGACAUCAUGCUACGUCUUGAGCUUGCGUUGGUUUUCCUUGAAGAGGAAAGGGUGAUGCAUCAAUAGUAGCGUAAGUAUUUCCCUCAGUUUUUGAGAACCAAGGUAUCAAUCUAGUAGGAGGCUCCUCAAAAGUCCCGCACACCUACACAAACAAACAAAGAACUCGCAACCAACGCAAUAAAGGGGUUGUCAAUCCCUUCACAGCCACUUGCGAAAGUGAGAUCUGAUAGAGAUAGUAUGAUAAGAUAAAUAUAUUUUUGAUAUUUUUAUAAUAUAGAUUGGAAAAGUAAAGAUGCAAAUAAAAGUAGAUUGAAAGCUUAUAUGAUAAAAGAUAGACCCCGGGGCCAUAGGUUUCACUAGUGGCUUCUCUCAAGAUAGCAUAAGUAUUACGGUGGGUGAACAAACUAUUGUCGAAAAGCGAAUAAUUAUGAGAUUAUCUAGGCAUGAUCAUGUAUAUAGGCAUCAUGUCUGUGACAAGUAGACCGACUCCUGCCUGCAUCUACUACUAUUACUCCACACAUCGACCGAUAUCCAACAUGCAUCUAGAGUAUUAAGUUCAUAAAGAACAGAGCCACUCCUUUACUUGUGCACGGGCAGUCAAAGGCACCCGCCAGGGCCAUGCAUAACAGGGCAGGAAAGGGAAGGCAGAGAGAAGCCAAAGGCACAAGACAAACAAAGCAACGACAAGGACCAAGGCCACAAAGAUCGGAUGGACGAAGCAGGUUUCCACGGCAAGGACCCUUGCCGGGGCAGCCUCAAUGGCCCCGACAAGACCCUUGCUGGGGCAGCCUCAGUGGCCCCGACAAGACCCUUGCCGAGGCAGCUCGGCUACGCCAGCUGAGUGAGCCACCUUUGAGGCCACCAACACUAGACAAACGCAUUGGGACAUGGCUCAGGAGGCACAUCCAUGGUGGCAUGCAGAUCUUUGUGAAGACAUAGAAUGCUUUAGAUCAGAUGAUGAUUGGAGGGUAACAAUCCUCACCAAGAUCCUCACCGAAGAAACCCACAAGAACCCCGGCAAGAUCCUUGCCGGGGACGCCAGCGCACCACGGCAAGACCCUUGCCGGGCCACCCGACAAGACCCUUGCCGGGCCGCCCUAUGAGACCCUCGCCAGAGGCAACCGCAGGGCCACUGCCAAGCCCGCACCGAUCAACUCCCCGUCACCGUUCGCAUGCAGCUGCCAGCCCAACCAGCUGGGCAGGCACCUGCGUGGCGGCAUGUAGGUCUUCGUGGAAGCUCCACCGCCGCGCCACCUUAGCUGCCUACCUGCCUACAUGGCACCGCAUGCAUCGCUGGCCAGGGCGCAUGUCAAAGCAAGGAGGAGCGGUGACGGACGGGCCGGGCCUCGCUCCCGUCCCCGAUAAAGUGAAUGGACACCUAAGCCUCGCAUUAAAUGCGCUUUGUCCUGUAAUACCAGCGAUAAGCUCACAACGCUGUAACACUUUCCACCUCCUGUGUGCCACUGUGGCAGCCCCUUUUGCCUAUAAAAGGAGGCCCAUGGCGCACUAGAGAAGGAUUCGGCUCUUUGGAACCUAGCAGAACCCAAAGCUAGUUGAAGAGCUCCAGAACACUAAAUACAUCCACCAAAGCAGGAUCGUAGGGUUUUACGCAUCUUUGCGGCUCGAACCUGGGUAAAUCCCCUUUGUGUUGUCUGUUAGUCCUGCUCUUCUCACGAUCCAGCACCCCGCAACCAUAUUAGGGAUUCCAGUGAUCCCAUAGGUGUCGUUUCCCACCGACAACUUUGGCGCGCCAGGCAGGGGGGCGCAAUUGUGAGAAUCGGGUCCAGUGGUAGGCCUAGCAGUUCAUCAUCGCCGCAGCUCCUGCAGGGAAGGCGGCCAAGAAGGCGGCACUGCUCGUUGGCUUGAAGGACGCCGAAGCGGCGACGAGAGAGCUAAGUCAUGCUGAACUUUAAGUUUUCCUCCUUAAAUAUAAGGUUGUUAUCCUCGACGGUUCGGCCUGUGUAUGGAGAGCCUAUACGCAGAGGGGCCCUCCUGCGAUUGGCAACGCCCUUGUUCUGUUUCGAGUUUGCUCAACAGUUCAAGCGGCCGCGUCGAGAGCGGUAGGGUAGCCUUUCGCCAUCGGCAACGCUCUCGGUUCUGACUCGAGUCAAGCUCGACAGAUCGAGCGGCCGCGCCAAGGGCGGUAAGCUACUUUGCCCGGCAACAAGCACACCUGGCAGGCUAAUGAGGAUCCGUCCUCAAAGCGCCGCCUCGGGUUUACGUGCCGGCAAGCCUACCCGGUCGAUGUGGGGUGGACAUACAAAGGAGAAUCGAACAGGAAAAUAACAUGCAUAAUUUCAGGGGCACUGUAGAGUUAUAUUACACAAAUUGCCGCCGUGAUUCUAACUAAAGAUAGCUUUGUCUUGGUCAUGAACCUGCAGCGGCGACGGAGAACGGGGUGCCCUCCGGCAGAGUCCCUCCACAGUCCCGGCGCUGGCCCUCCAACCUCUCGAUUUUGUCGAUGCGGCUGAGGAUGGGCUGGAUACGCUCAUUGAGCGCCACGAUGUCGGCAUCCUCCGGCAAGCUCUUCAGCACAGCUUCGAAGUCGAGGUCUGGGUGCCAGUGCGCAAUCUUGGUGAGCACCCUGGUCAUGGUCCCCUGGCAGAGUAUCCGGGAUUCUUCGGCCAGGGAGGCCGCCCGGUUGGAAUGAAGCCUCCUCAGGGCGCCGACGACCUUCUCAAAGUAUAUGGUUAGGUUGGCAUUGGGGCUCAGGCUCGCCUCUGGGGCGUACCCCAUCUUCGGCAUCCCCACAAUGGCUAGCUGAUCGGCGGCCGAGUUUGCCAUGACGGCAAGGCACUCGAGCCAAUGUUUCUCGCCCGCCUCAUGGUCCUUGAGGUUGGCGGUCUCAUUCAUCAGCAGCUGCUUCUCCGUCUCAAGCACCUUGGUCAGGAUCCCCUCCCGGGUUCUGGCCUCCGACAUCAUCUUCUCGAGCUCCCCCAGCUUCAGCUUGAGGUCUUUGAUGGAGAUGUUGGCUUCGGAGAGUUCUCCAGCCUUGCUGGCGACCUCGCCCUGCGCCUCCGCCAGGGCGCCAUUGAGCGUAUCCCUCUCCUGGGCCAGCUUCAGAGCCUGCCCCCUCCAGCUCCUUCACCCUGCCGGCAUAGGCCUGAGCCUGGGCGUUGAGUGCUUCCUGAUGCCUCCGCUCCAGCUCUUGUGUCCGCUGCAGGACAAGCUUGCCCACCUCUUCGUCCUUGCCAUGGAGCGUGGCGGCAAGUUUCUCCUCGCGCGCGGCAAGGUCCUCUUCCUGGGUUUUCAGUGCGGCCUCAUGCUGGGUCCGGGCGGCUUCGGCUUCGUCGGCCAAUUUCUUCACCGUCUCCUGGGCCUUCUUGACGUCGGCCAGCUUCAGGGUGAGCUCCACCUCACGGUUGGCCAGCUCGCCCUAGGCGGCCUUCAGCUCGUCCUGGGCCUGGCGGAACCAGUCUUACGCCUCGGUGAUGCGCCCUCCAAAGUCCUCCUCCGCCUUCUCCACCAUCGCCGUCCUGGACUUGGCCUUGUCCAGACGGGCGCGGUGGAGCGCCUGAAGCUUCCGAAAGCUGGCACCCAUGGCCUGGAGCAGCAGCUCCUCUUGGGAGCCGACGCCACCGACGCCCGGCUCAUCGACGACCUCGAGCCCGGCGGCGGCAAGCGCCUCCUCGUCAAACACCUCUCCCUCAAAGGGAGCCCUGGUGCUCGACGCGCCAAGGAGAUGGACGAAGAAGUCGUCACUUACACUCAGGUACCUGCCGGAGCCAGAGGCGGCGGAGGAGGAGGGCAGGUCAUCAAACGCCACCUCCUCAGCAGUAGCCUUGCUGGCCUCCCCGGCAGGCCCCUUGCCGGGCUCUUCGACGGUCCCCUUGGCGGUGUCCUCAGCGGCGCCCCCGGCGCUCUCCUCAGCAGCAAUCUUCUCCUCCUCCGCCGCGGCACCCGUGGCAAUGUUCUUGAUGGCGGUGUCGACAUCCUCUGAGCCCACCAAGGAGGGGUCUGGAUGCCAGGAAGGAUACAGGGCAGAGCCAAGAUCAAAAGCCAGUAAGAAAAAAAGAAAGAAAGAACGCAAGCAGAAGUGGAGAGCGAGUGGCACACCCAUUUCGGGCCGAGAGGCGGAAGCCCCUCCUCCGCCGAGGUCUGGCGUCAAGGCAAAGCCACGAGCACCAUGUUCUCCCCUUCCUCCUCCAUGUGCAUGGCCUCGGUGCUUGGUUCCCUUGUCGGGGACGCCCCUCGGGGCGGCGUGGUCAACGGGGGUGGCACGAUGGGAGAAGUCCUCUGCGGCUCCCCUUGGUGUUGCUUCCCUCCUACAUCCACAGCAGGUUCAGUACCAAAGCGUCAUGCGAUUACACACGUUGACGAAGGAUGGGUGGUGGACUCACGCUGGGGGCUGCUGUCCGGGCUGCUCGACACCACCAGUGGCGUACUGGAGGUGCCUGCCGGGGGCUGGCCACUCACCGAAGUCUUGGCCCUCUUUAUCCUUUGGGCCAGCGUCUCCACAUCCCUGCGAGAUGAAGACAAGUGAGCAACGCCUUCAGGGGAAGUGUAAGGGACGAGGGAGGAAAGCAGAAGCUUACUCUUCUUUCUCUUCCUCCUCCUCCUCUGUUGCUUUCCUUUUUCUCUCCGGGCUGAGAGGCCCGGGGUCUCUCUCCGGGCUAAGAGGCCCGAAGUCAAACACAACCCCCGCGCCGAUGUUUGCCGGAGAAGGGGGAGGCGAUGGCGUCCGGGCGCGCUUGUACAACGAAGAAGCAGAUGUCUUCUUCUUCGAUGCCAUGGCCUUUGCCGUUUUCUUCAUCGCCACCGCCCUCGUCUGGCGCACAGGCACCUCCUGGGCUUGCUGCAGCUGCGUGGCCCGGUCGAGGCGGACCGGCUCGCCGGAGGUGGCCCGCCGCAGGACCUGCCCUUUUCCGGCGAUCAGAGGAUCGAAGGUCGCGGUUUUCGCCUCCUCGCCCUCCUCCUUCGACGACCCGUCGGCAGCGUCUUCAACAACGGGAGCCCCGGAGUCGGCGCCGCUGGCCUCCCCAGCGGCUACUGCCCACCGGGCGAGCUCCCCCUCCUCCACCUCCGUCGCGCCCUUGUCCACCACGCCGCCGGCGCUGCCGGCCUCCUUGACAAGCUUAGACUCCUCCUCGGCAAGCCUCGCCUCCUCCACCCUGGCGGCGAUAUAGUCCAGCUCCGCCGGAGAGGUGUCCUGGAUAAGCCGCGGCUUGGCGGUGACGUACACCUCAUGCAAGGUGUCGAACAACUCCUGCACCACGAGCCCGUCCAGCUCAACCCAAUUCGGGUCAAGGCCAUGCGCGUUGAAGAGCGGCAUAAUGGCAAUGAUCUUGUUCCGGCAAGAGUUGUUGCUCAGCGGGACCACUCCCGCCGGCAACCUGAAAACGGGCUCCUUGUCGACCUUGCUGGCCUUUGCAGCGGCCCUGGCAAGCUUGCCGGACCACUCGACCUCGCCCUCGUCGUCAACCUCGAGCUGGAAGAUCCGUUGGCAGAGAUGGGUGUCCCUCAGCACCGUUAGGUUGUUGUCGAGACCGGGGCGGAGCCUCAUGAUGUCGGCGGCGUUCACGAAGAGCCAGGCCAGCCUUCCCUUGUCGUGUAGAGGAGCAAUCCAGCGACGGAUGAAGUCCGCCCCGAUCAUUUCGAGGGUGAGCCCGGCCUGGGUGAGCCAAAGAAUCCUGGUGGUGGCGACCGUAAGCUUCACGUCGUCGGCGUCGAUGUCGCCCCAAUCGCCCCCACGGACCGGCGGCUUCUGGCGAACCUCGCAGAAUGCUGGCAGGUCCUCCUCCUCAAUCCAGCACCACCGGCCCUGCCAUUCUUCCCACCUCUCCUUCGUGGCGCCGUCCGGGUACGCCCCCUUGGCCCUCGGGAUCCAGGCGACGCAGCCAGUGAUGGCGCCCCCUUUUUGGAUCUGAGGGGAGAAGUAAUGGUGGAAGAGCGCCGUGCGGGGUGCACCCCGACAAAGCCCUCGCAGAGAUGUGCGAAGAGAGCCAUGCACGCCAUGGCAUUCGGGGUGAAAUCCAAGAGGUGGAAGCCGUAGGUAUGCAUGAUAUCCUUGAACAAAUCGGAAAAGGAGGGACAAAGCCCGCAGGAGAAAUAGUCGACGAAGAAGGGGUACCGAUUUGGGGAGGGCCCGGCGCUGGCGGGGACGACGUGCGUGGCUGGAUGCCCCGUCUUCUCUCCCCCCGUCUUCACUCCCCACAGAUCCUUGAACAUCUCCCGGAGCUCGGGCACGCCGACCGUCGAGGGGAAGUAGGCGGACUGCGCCCGUCGCGCCACCAGCUCGCUCUCCGGCUGCUCCGACACCCCGACGUCCUUCGUCGCUCCCUUGCUCUUGGUGGACUUAAGCGCCAUGGCGGCUGCGGGAAGCAAAAAAGAAGAGGAUGGCAGAAGCACGGCGGCGAUGGACGGAGACAGAGGGGCUCGAGAAGAAGGAAGAAAGGGGGCGGUGGUUCUGAGAUUGGAGAAGGCGCAAGAAGAGGGGUAAAGUGAGCAGCGCGCCCGUGGUUAUUCCUUUUUACGGGGAAGGCGCGAGCCGCCUCCUUUCCCAUUAACUGCGAUAUGACGCAUGCAUGCGAACGCAGUCCCACACAUGCCCCCCACCUCACGCGCGCGCACACGACCCCCACGUCGCACGUUCAAUGCGGGUCAUGGGGAAGCGCAACGGACGGAACAGUUACCGUGGUAAAAAUCCGCCCCAACUGCCCGCGCACCGUUCUGGGCUGGCCCAACAACGUGAUGCGCUUGUGUAUGGCCUAGGCCCGGGGGCUCCUGUUGGUGUACAAAAGUAGGGGCUCUGCUUUUGACCCCUUUACUUGUGCACGGGCAGUCAGAGCCACCCGCCACAGCCACGCAUAAUAGGGCAGGAAAGGGAAGCCAGAGAGAAGCCGAAGGCACAAGACAAACAAAGCAAUGACAAGAACCAAGGCCACAAAGAUUGGAUGGACGAAGUAGGUUUCCCCGGCAAGGACCCUUGCCGGGGCAGCCUCAGCGGCCCCGGCAAGACCCUUGACGGGGCAGCUGGCCCACACCAGCUGAGCGAGCCACCUUUGAGCCCACCAGCACUAGACAAACGCAUUGGGACAGGGCUCGGGAGGCACCUCCGUGGUGGCAUGCAGAUCUUUGUGAAGACAUAGAAUGCUCAAGAUCGGAUGAUGAUUGGAGGGUAAUAAUCCUCACCAAGAUCCACACCGAAGAAACCAACAAGACCCCCGGCAACAUCCUUGUCGGGGACGCCAGCGCGCCAUGGCAAAACCCUUGCCGGGCCACCCGGCAAGACCCUUGCCGAGCCGCCCUACGAGACCCUUGCUAGAGGCAACCACGGGGCCACUGCCAGGCCCACACCGAUCAACUCCCCGUCGCCGUUCGCAUGCAGCUGCCAGCCCAACCAGCUGGGCAGGCACCUGCGUGGUGGCAUGCAUAUCUUCGUGGAAGCUCCACCGCCGUGCCACCUCAGCUGCCUGCUUGCCUACAUGGCACCGUAUGCAUCACUGGCCAGGGCGCGUGUCAAAGCAAGGAGGAGCGGCGACGGACGGGACGGGCCUCGCUCCCGCCCCGAUAAAGUGAAGGGACACCUAAGCCUCACAUUAAAUGCGCUUUGUCCUGUAAUACCAAUGAUAAGCUCACAAGGCUGUAGCACUUUCCACCUCCUGUGUGCCACUGUGGCGGCCCCUUUCGCCUAUAAAAGGAGGCCCAUGGCGCACUGGAGAAGGAUUCGGCUCUUUGGAACCUAGCAGCACCCAGAGCUAGUUCAAGAGCUCCAGAACACUAAAGACAUCUACCAAAGCAUGAUUGUAGGGUUUUACAAAUCUUUGCAGCCCGAACCUGGGUAAAUCCCCUUUGUGCUGUCUGCUAGUCCCGCUCUUCUCACGAUCCAGCUCCCCGCAACCGUAGUAGGGAUUCUAGUGAUCCCAUAGGUGUCGUUUCCCACCGACACUGGCGUCCUCCUGAUGCUUUGUUCCCCAGUCAUCAGCAACGUGCAAGUUACCAGGACCUCAUCGAUGGCGGCGCAGGGCUCAAUGUUCUGUCCAUUGAGAUGUUCAACAACCUUCAAGUGCCAUAUGAUCAACUUCGGCCUACCAAGCCUUUCUCAGGAGUUACUGAUGGCUCCACCACCCCGAUAGGGCAGGUCCGCCUCCCUGUCACCUUCGGGCAGCGCAAUAACUACCACACCGAGCUCAUCAACUUCGACGUCGCCAACAUUCGCCUGCCAUACGAUGCCAUCCUCAGGUAUCCAGCCCUGGCCAAGUUCAUGGCGGUGACCCACCAUAGCUACAAUGUCCUCAAGAUGCCAGGGAGCGGCGGAAUCAUCACAGUCCCCUGCGAAGAGAAAGAUGCGGUGUGCUCCCUCGAGCGCGCCUUCCAAGCUACAUCAAUCGAGGACCCGGGCAGUAAGGGCGAGAACCCUCCUGAGGCAGUCCCCAAGAAGAAGAAGACAUCGCCCAGCUCAAGGCCUCAGGAGGUUGGCAUUUCAGGAGGUGCCACAUCAGGAUCUGCGCCCGUGCAAUGGGCGUUUCCUUCCAUCGCAUCGGAAGGCACGCUCGGCGCCUUCCUCGAGCAGGGCUCGGGGGCUCUCUUCUGGAGGGCCUCAGACUUUGCCAAAAUCAGGAGGGAGGCGCUCGGGCAGCACUUGGAGGCAUGCUUCGCGGCACGUUUCCCUUAGGAAGUCUCAGGGCGUGAAAAGCCCAACCCUCAGGAGUUCAUCACCAAGACCACUCAGGAGCUUCAGGAAGCAAGAGCCAUGCACGGCAAUCACCGAUUUGCCUAGCGUAGCUCCCCAUCUAGGCGAGGAUGGCGGGCUGCGCGUCUACAUCUUUAGCUUAUGUCUUUAAUUUACCUUGUUGGGGGCGCCCCUUGGGCUGCAUCAUCCCCAAGCUGCUCGGGCCUGACCCAGUGGCAUGUAUCCAUUCUGCAUUCAUCUAAGCUGAUUUUCCCUUCAUGCCUAACCUGCCUGUGAUUAUCGCCUGCUCAAUUGACACCUACCUUUGGAGCCGCUCGCUCUGGCACGACGCUUGCACAUGGGUCCGUCCCUGCAACGUCGACAAAUCUGAGUGGUCGAGCUCUGGCCCGCGGUAGCCCCGCAAGCGCCACCUCACCAGGCCCUCAGCGCCCUCACCACUCUCUCGGAGCAACCAAUGGGUGGCCGACAAUCAUAAUGACGACCCGUGCUUUUCUCGUGUUGGUUGACAGGAACCUCUGGAGGUCUAUAGCGGGUGGCACCAUGAGCUCUCUCUCUCCCUUUCCCGCACGAUCCGCUUGCGCGUUGAAAGGGGGGCUCCUGAGCAUCGCGACUCAGGAGCUCUUACUGGCUCUCCAGCCCUCACCCCUUGGCAUUGUCCACGGCAUUUCGACCUCGCAUACCAGCGGCGGCUAAGCUCGCUCGAGGGCCGGGAGCUGAGGACGUAGAGCGCAAAGGAGGGUGUGGGGAAGAGAGGGGAAGCUCACGAGGGCCUAACCCAGCUACAUCCCAGCUGCCAACGUAUAAGUCCGGCGCAACCCGAAGGAACGACUCCAUGUUUUCGAGAUAAGUUUCACGCUCGGAAUAGCUAAUCGAUGCGGUAGAGGAUCUCCACCUAAUGCUGCUCUAUGACAGCAACAUUGCCUUCCAUUCUCACCUUUUGGCGGCCGCUUGUGCGCUAAAGGGGACCUCCUGAGCAUUGCGCCUCAGGGGCUCUUACUGGACCUCGGGCCGCUCACCUCCUGGCCUUGACCACGGCAUCGCGACCUGGCAUACCAGCGACGGCUGAAGCCUGCCUGGGGAUCAGGACCUGUCAGCGUAGAGCACCAAGUCGCCGCGAGCUUAGAAAGGGGGAACCAAGCCGGGACAGGACGAGCGUUUGCACCGCUUCAUAAUAAGGAUAACAUCAACAAGAUACAUCGCGGACCCUUUACAUGCCCCCAUGGGGUGUUUUCUCGAUUCCUCGUAGGGAAAAAAGGACGCGAAUCCUAAGGAGCCCAAACUACGCAUGCCUCCAUGGCCGACGCCAUCAUCAACAGUGGGCCACGGGAGGCCUGCGCCAACCCCAUCCAGAUCAGCUGCAGCGACAGCCUGAUGCAGCCGCCUUGCUCCGGGCACGGCGCAAGCUCGGGGGCACAUAGCUGUUGUCGCUCGUCUCAAGAGUCACGAAGAGCUCGGGAGUGUCACUGGACUCCCAAGCAUCGCCGCUGCUGCCGGAGGAGCCGUUUGGUUAGCGGAUGGCAGGCCUAGCCCCUGCGACGAUGAUGUCCCGGCUGCCUUCCCUGGGGCAGCACUCCAGGCGGCGGCCUUCUGUGUCGAAGACCUUGAAGAGCAUCAAGGAGGCGCCAUCGUAUUCAAAAUGAAUCACGAGGGCACCCCCUGUUCGGCAGACCCGAGCGACCUCGCCCCAGCCUCGGGUCAUGAAGACCUUGCCCGGAGCGACGACUUCAACCUCCGCUUGGGUCGCCAUAGUCGGCGUGCUGCAGCCAAAGCUCAAGAGGCCCCCUCGGCGGCAUCUCGAAGGCGAAGAAUGAAGGGAAGCGAAUCCACGUGCUUGGAGGCAUUGCAGCAUGAAGCACGGGCUCGCGAGGAGAGUCCGCGGCAUGGACUCCAGGAGCAAAAAAACGCGCCGCCAUGGCUCGUCGACCCCGCCUGCGGCGGGGCGGCGUCGCUCAUCGUCUCCUUCUCCACGGCCCUCGGCCCAGGCGUACAGGGGUAGUGGGAACCCAGGAGGUGGCCGCUCGCACCAAGGCCUCGCCGCCUCUAGCCUCACAACCUCGUCGCGGCGGCAUGGGACCGGCUGUUUCUUUGGUGGGAGCGGGUCAGGCCCCUCCCGGGGGGCCUUUCCUUUCUCUGUGGCUGAGAACCUGCGGAUCGGUGCCAUUGGCAUCGAGAAUGGAGGUGGAGCAAGGGAGAAGAAGCAGAUGGAGCAAGAAGAGAUGGACAAUGGGGGCUCUCGCCUCUCCGUACUUAUAGUCCCAGGGAGGCCAACCGUUGACCUCCACGAUCGCAGGUAAUGAUGACUCUUUUUUGCAUGCAGCAGGGACUCAUAAAAUCGGGCAGUUGCCGAGGCAGCGUGGGGAAGCGGAGACGCCCACGUCCAAUCAACCGCCACGCGGCGACCAAGGCCGCAGGCUGUGGGGGCCCGUGGCGCUCCGCACUUGCCCUCUGGCUUCGCUGCUAAGCCAAGUCCGAGUAUGCCUUGGGCCCAGGGGCUACUGUCGGCGUUCUGGAAAUGGGGGUCCCCAGACUUGCCUGCCUACGGCCUGCAGCGUGGCUCAGCAGUGGCCCAGUAUGGCCCGUCUUAAUCAGCAAACACUCAAGACCCUCGCGAGGGGCCAAGCCUCGCGGGGCAGACGAUGCAAGGCCUCCUCAGGGGCGGCCUCACCAGGCAGGCUCGCGAGGAGGCGGAGAGAUCAAGGCAAAAGGUACCUCGUGAGGUGCUCAUGACGCAAGCCAUGACGAUCAAGACCAGGAGGGCGCCAGCCCGCGCAGUGUCUUCGUUUCCUCUUUGGUGCAAAGGGGGCAAGCACAGGCGCGGAGUACCGAGGCAUCAGACAAAGGUUUCCAUAUAGGUGCAACGAGACCAAGACCAGCAGAGCGGCAGGAAGGAGGUCACCGUAGAGCCCAAGACGGCAUCAUCACCAGUUCCUUUGGUAGUCGAAGACCACCUUUUGUCAGGAUAGCUUGUACUAGCUAUCCCCUUUCAAAAUGGUCGUUGUUGGCUCCCUUCCCGCUCAAUAUUUGGGAAGAGGACCAGGGCCUCUAUAAAUAAGGUUAGCCACCACAGUAGAGGGGAUGAAAUCUGAUCCGAUCGGACCCAGACCUAGCUCGUCUACACACCACCACAAGAACACCUCUCGCGAGGCUAUUCUUUCUCUGUACUAUUCAUCAUCAGUCAAGAGGCAAUCCACCACACCACACACUGGAUUAGGGUAUUACACCACAAUGGUGGCCCGAACAAGUAUAAACCUUGUGUCUCUUGUGUUGUUCAUCGUGCUAGCUUAGAAUCGCUGGGAGGUUGUGGGCGUGUUUUGGUAGGGAGAAGAUCUUUGUGCGCACCCCAGAGUUCGAACCUUAAGGGUUUUGCCGAACCCGAUAUCCGACAACAACCUCAUUGCUGAGCAAUUAAAAAGGAAGUCUCUGGAAUAAUCUAGCAUGGUGGUCGCUGCUGCCUGCCGGCGCCGUCCAUCCCCAUGCCUCCGCCUAGUCCGACCGCCAGUCACCACCACGCUCCACUCCUCCUCACCUUAUCUCUCAUCUUUCAUUUUUCGAUGAAAUUCUUGAGAUACCAGUUUUCCGACAAAAUUCUUGAGAUAUCAUUAAUUUUUACACAUGGGAUUACUCCUGCAUGGGUCAAUCACAAUAGGAGUUUUGUAAAAAUAUGCAUAUGGAUGUUCCGUGCAAUGCACGAGCCUCUUGCUUGUAAUUAUAUAACGCAAAUCACGAGCAGGAAGUGACAUUUUUUUACACAACCACAUUAACAUGGCCACGUAAAUCACUAGCUAAAGUGUAAUACCAUUAUACUUAUAUCCCGAUGCAAAAGGUUGAGUACAUGUCCGAAGAGUAGAGUCGCACACACGCACUCUGUCUCUCAGAAUCUCUCUCACACACACACUAGUUACGUGCACCCACUUAAGCAGACACGUAUGUUACAAUUUGUGCACCCGCGGGUACACGUGAUGGUGCACAUUUAUUUAAGCCGGACGGUGAACCCAAAUAGUAGCUGCAAUCAUUCCGCACCCGCCGCCUCUUCUCUAGUCGCCGUCACCCGGUAGCCAUGGCCUGGUCGAAGGUAACGACAUAUGCCAUACUCCCACCGGAGCGGCGCUUUAAUCUGGAAAUUUUAGUGGUCAUGCAUGCAUCUUUUUGUGCUAGCACCCCUAUAUAAGGGUUGACCGGUCUCUUCCCGCUGACGUGCACGGGCGGUGGAAGAGGAAGGAGAAGGGAAGCGGGCUAUGGAGUAAUGUUUUUUUACCACAAUUUCUUAGGAAACUGAGUGCAAUAAUUGAGUAGUUUUGCAAACUACCAGUACUACACCUGGAACGGUUCAAAACCAAUACUCCCUUGUCGGUGCGCGCUUUCCGUGUGAAACGGUAAGCGUCACCCUAGAGCGUCAGUGCCGCAUUAAUGCCCGGCCAGGGCGGAGGCGACCUCUCACUGGCGCCAGCUUUGAAGCAGCGCGCCGCCCGAGAGAGCACUGCUUCCUGGUGCAUGCGACUACUCCGCGUCGAGGCUGGCAAUAGGCCCUGUUUGGAUCCAUGGGUUAGAGUUAGUUUGAGCUAUUUGGGGCUCAAAUAGCCCUAAAGUAUCCAAGCAUGAGGGUUAAUGUCGGUGUACUAAAGUAGGGGGUACCUUAGUACCCCGAACUUGUGCACGGGCAGUCGCAGCACCCCCGCGGCGAGGCUUGCCGGGCGCCCGGCAAGGCCCUCCGCCAUUCUUUAUUACUGCCAUUCAAGAACAAAGUACUAGCCAAGAACGCGAAGGCCCUGGCAAGAGGAGCUUGCCGGGAAGGCCAACCAGGGCACCACUAGAAGACUUGCCGCGGCGCCCCGCGCGCCCCGGCAAGGCCUGGCGGCCGGCAAGCUUGCCGGCACAACAAGAAAAGGGCCGCGGCAAGGCACUUGCCGCGGCAAGGCUGCCUCCCAGACUCCAGCGCACCCAGCGACGUGUGUAGGAUCGAAAGUAUGUCUAGAGGGGGGGUGAUUAGACUACUUGACAAUAUAAAAAUUCUGCCUUUUGACAAAAAACAGUUUUUGGCAGAUUCACAAUUAUGAUCAAGUCAAGCAUCACCCUACACAUGCAAUUCUAGAGUAUAGGCAGCGGAAAGUAAAUUGCACAUGUAGUAAAGAGAGGUGGAGAAGAGCAAACGCAAUUUUGGAGACGCGGUGAUUUUUCUCAUGGUUCCGAUAGGUGGUGCUAUCGUACUUCCACGUUGAUGGAGACUUCAACCCACGGAGGGUAACGGCUGCGAGAGUCCACGGAGGGCUCCACCCACGAAGGGUCCACGAAGAAGCAACCUUGUCUAUUCCAUCAUGGCCUACGCCCACGGAGGGCUAGCCUUACUCAGGGUAGAUCUUCACGAAGUAGGCGAUCUCCUUGCCCUUACAAACUUCUUGGUUCAACUCCACAUCUCGAUGACGGAGGCUCCCAAGCGACACCUAACCAAUCUAGGAGGCACCACCCUCCAAAAGGUAAUAGAUGUUGUAGAUGAUGAUGAACUCCUUGCUCUUGUGCUUCAAAUGAUAAUCUCCCCAACACUCAACUCUCCUCACUGAUUUGGCUGUGGUGGAAGAAAGGAUUGAGUGGAAAGCAACUUGGGAAGGCUAGAGCUCAAGCUUCAUAUGGUGGGACUGGAGCAACUUGAUCUCAACACAAGGGUAGGUAGUUCUCUUCUCAGAAAUGUAAGGUAGGAGUGGUAGUUCUUUCUGAUGGCUCUCCCCACGAAUGAAGAGGGGGUGGAGGGGUAUAAAUAGCCUCCACACAAAAUCCAACCGUUACACACAUUUGAGCAAUUUCGGUGGGACCGAAGUGGACAACUCAGUGAGACCGAUAGUUCAAAUAAUGUGAACGUUGGGAUUUUCGGUGGGACCGAAAAUACAAUCUCGGUUAGUCCGAUUCGUGCAAUGACAAGAGCAUGCCAGUUUCGGUGGGACCGACUUCAUCAUCUCGGUGACACCGAUUUGAUGACAGAAGGUUACAGAAGCUUGGCAACUCAUGUUUCGGUGAGACCGAGUUCAGAAUCGGAAAAUCCGAGUUUGCUAGGGUUUGGCUUAUGGCUGAGGUGGUUCAUCUCGGUGUGACUGAGUUUGGAAUAUCGGUGGGACCGAGAUUACUUAUGAGUGUAUAUGGCAGUGAAAGUUGCUGAUAGUUUAGGAGAUGUAUCACUAAGCACUUGAGCAACCAGAUCAUCAUCAUAACCUCAUCCCCUUUUAAUAGUAUUGGCUUUUCCUAUGGACUCAAUGUGAUCUUGGAUCACUAAACCAAAAAUGGAGUCUUGAGCUUUUGCCAAAGCUUGCCUUAGCAUUUUGGGGGUCCACUUCUUCAGUCCUUGCCAUACCCAUAUCACUGAACUCUUUGAAAUGAUUCUCAAGUAACUAUUAGUUCAAUGAUAUAUAUGUUGUUAUUAAUUACCAAAACCACCCGGGGAUUAGUUGCACUUUCAACGUGUCAUCGCAAGGCCAUCCCAAGGGCACGUGGCGAGGCGCUACGCAGCCAUGCGGAGCGAGGUGGCAAACGGACCUGACAGAGGCGCCAUCGUGGCAACCGGUGGCUCACCUAACGGUCGUUUCUUUACACUGUUGGGACGACCAGACGGGCAUUUAGUGCCCUUGUCCCCUGCCGUCAGAGUUAGGUAGGGGCACUUUUGGGCACUGUUGUACCAACCUGCGAUUUUACCUUUCUACCCCCUCUUCCUACGCUGCCACCUGUGGAUCCCCCCUUUAGAGUAUAAAAGGGAGGCCCAUGCGCACGUAGAAGAGGUUCGGUCCAUUCGACACCCACAGCACCACCAUACGCUCGCACGCUCGAGCAAGAUCAAAUAACAAACACAAAGCAGCAGUAGGGGUGUUAUCUCUCCGGAGAGCCCCGAAGCUGGGUAAAAGAUUGCCCGUCUCCCCGCGCGCGCUCGACCUCGAUCUGCUCUGCGCACGCCCUCCGCUCCCUUGCCGAACCAGAAGGGGUCCCCGUGCCCCAUAGGUGCUCGAGGCCACAGAGACACGCCCCGACAUCUUUGGCGCGCCAGGUAGGGGGGCGUCGAGGUCGUGAGCAUCUGAUCCGGUCUCCACGCGCGCUACAUCAGCGUCAUCGUCAACAUGCCACCGAAGAAGAAGCCUUCGGAGGUGGCCGCUCCGUCUACAUCAAUUCCACCACCACCGCCGGAGCAAGCAGGCGGUGAGGUGGACGCCGGCGGAGGAGCGGGUGCCGCCGGUGGGUCUCACGUCAUCACCAGAUCCAAGAACAAGGCCCCGCAAGCGUCGGUGACGGUGCAGACGCGCACCCUUCCCAGGAGGUGCAAGGUCAACAACGCCCCGGUGCUCCUAGCACCGUGCUCGCAUUGGAACAAGGCCAAGCUGGUGGGUCGCGGGACGCUCGAGGUCAGCAUGCACGCCCGCAUGCUGGCGCGAGCGAGAUACGGUCGCCCGGACGGGGUGUUGCUCCUCCCAAUCUGGUUGGGAGUCCGAGCACAUCUCGCUCCUCGCGCCGCUCGUCGCCAUCGCCACCCAAGACAGCAGAGGAAGCGCUGGCCCGAGCCCAGCUGCUUCUAGAUUACCCUCCGGCGCCGCACAAGAUCGACGACUAGAGGAUGACCAUUUACAGCCUCAUCGGCUUCGCCAACGGCGACAAACCCCGGCGACCGAGCGCGUCGAGGCCCCGGCAAGGCGCCCAGGCGCAAGCCGACGCCGACAAGACCGCUGGGGGUGCCACCUCUGUGCACUCCCAGCCCCGAAGGCCAAGAUCGCCAGCUCGCCGGACCAACACCGACGGCGACUCCACCGCGUCGUCGGACCCGCGAACUCGCCGCGAUCAACGCCACGUCCUCCAAGAACGGCAACACGAAGACGCUCGCACCCGCAUCGAGCGCCGGAGAGAAGCGCGACGUCAAUCUGACCAGUGCACUGGGCCCACUGUCGACGCGCACGCACCCGGAGAACCAGGCGACUUGCCGUACGCGGCAGGUUGCCCUGCGUUCACCCGCGAGUAGCGGCAAGUCCAGUGGCCCAAAACCAAGAACUUCAAGCCAGACGUGCCCGAGAAGUAUGAUGGCAGGAUACAUCCGUCGGAGUUCCUUAGCAUCUACACCAUCGCGGUGCAGGCUGCCGGAGGGCGCGACGAGAAGAUCCUCGCCAACUACUUCCCACUGGUACUCAAGCCCAACGUCAGAUCUUGGCUCAUGCACUUGCCGGACGGCUCCAUCUCUUCAUGGGCGGAGCUGUGUCAUCAGUUUGUCGGCGCCUUCACGGGUGGCCACAAGCCUCAUGGCCAGGAGAGUGACCUCCACUUGCUCAUCCAGAAGGAGGGGGAGCCCCUGCGCAAGUACAUACAAAGAUUCAGCCAGGUGCAGCGCAACAUCCCAGACGUCCACCCUGCCGCGGUUAUUAGCGCGUUUCAUCAGAACGUGCGUAAUCGCAGGAUGAGGGAGGAGAUGGCGAUGUGCAAGAUCAGAGAUGUCAGCGAGCUCUACGCUCUGGCCGACAAGUGUGCACGGGCUGAGGAGGGGAGGAAAAUCCCCGGAGAGGUUGCCGGAGCAGAAGGAUCUGACAGUGAGGAUGCCGCCCCGGCAAGGAAGAACCGGAGGCGGAACAAUAGGAAGAGAAAAGCUAAGGAUGUACUAGCUGUUGAGCAUUCCGGCAACGGAGGCGGCUCCGACAAGGCCAAAACCGACGACUCCGGCGAGGCUGUAGCAGCCGCUGACAAGCAGGACGGAUCCGGCAAGCGAUAUUGCAAGAUCCACCGCACCAAAGGCCAUGACCUCCAAACCUGCAAAAAAGUAGAGCAGUUGGCGGAGCUGCAAAAAGCUCAGUAUGAGCGCCGCGAUAAGGAGAGAGCCCAGGGAGGUGGCGGAGGAUCCGGCAAGAAGCUUCCCGCCCAGGGAGGACACCGCGGCAAGGCCAAAACGCGGCAAGGAGACAGGCCUCCCCGCGGCCGCGACAAGGACGAAGAUGAAGAUGAGGAUGAUGUAGGAUCGAAAGUAUGUCUAGAGGGGGGGGUGAUUAGACUACUUGACAAUAUAAAAAUUCAGCCUUUUGACAAAGACAAGUUUUUGGCAGAUUCACAAAUAUGAUCAAGUCAAGUAUCACCCUACACAUGCAAUUCUAGAGUAUAGGCAGCGGCAAGUAAAUUGCACAUGUAGUAAAGAGAGGUGGAGAAGAGCAAACGCAAUUUUGGAGACACGGUGAUUUUUCUCGUGGUUCCGAUAGGUGGUGCUAUCAUACUUCCACGUUGAUGGAGACUUCAACCCACGGAGGGUAACGGCUGCGAGAGUCCACGGAGGGCUCCACCCACGAAGGGUCCACGAAGAAGCAACCUUGUCUAUGCCAUCAUGGCCUACGCCCACGGAGGACUAGCCUUACUCGGGGUAGAUCUUCACGAAGUAGGCGAUCUCCUUGCCCUUACAAACUUCUUGGUUCAACUCCACAUCUCGACGGAGGCUCCCAAGCGACACCUAACCAAUCUAGGAGGCGCCACCCUCCAAAAGGUAAUAGAUGGUGUUGAUGAUGAUGAACUCCUUGCUCUUGUGCUUCAAAUGAUAAUCUCCCCAACACUCAACUCUCCUCACUGAUUUGGCUGUGGUGGAAGAAGGAUUUGAGUGGAAAGCAACUUGGGAAGGCUAGAGAUCAAGCUUCAUAUGAUGGGAGUGGAGCAACUUGAUCUCAACACAAGGGUAGGUAGUUCUCUUCUCAGAAAUGUAAGGUAGGAGUGGUAGUUCUUUCUGAUGGCUCUCUCCACGAAUGAAGAGGGGGUGGAGGGGUAUUUAUAGCCUCCACACAAAAUCCAACCGUUACACACAUUUGACCAAUCUCGGUGGGACCGAAGUUGACAACUCGGUGAGACCGAAAGUUCAAAUAAUGUGAACGUUGGGAUUUUCGGUGGGACCGAAACUACAAUCUCGGUUUGUCCGAUCCAUGCAAAGACAAGAGCUUGCCAAUCCCGGUGGGACCGACUUCAUCAUCUCGGUGACACCGAUUUGAUGACAGAAGGUUACAGAAGCUUGGCAACUCAAGUUUCGGUGAGACCGAGUUCAGAAUCGGAAAAUCCGAGUUUUCUAGGGUUUGGCUUUGUGGCUGAGGUGGUUCAUCUCGGUGUGACUGGGUUUGGAAAAUCGGUGGGACCGAGAUUACUUAUGAGUGUAUAUGGCAGUGAAAGUUGCUGAUAGUUUAGGAGAUGUAUCACUAAGCACUUUGAGCAACCAGAUCAUCAUCAUAACCUCAUCCCCUUUUAAUAGUAUUGGCUUUCCUAUGGACUCAAUGUGAUCUUGGAUCACUAAACCAAAAAUGGAGUCUUGAGCUUUUGCCAAUGCUUGCCUUAGCAUUUUGAGGGGUCCACUUCUUCAGUCCUUGCCAUACCCAUAUCACUGAACUUUCUGAAAUGAUUCUCAAGUAACUAUUAGUUCAAUGAUAUAUAUGUUGUUAUUAAUUACCAAAACCACCCGGGGAUUAGUUGCACUUUCAAUCUCCCCCUUUUUGGUAAUUGAUGACAACAUAUAGAUCAAAGCUUCGACAAAGGAUAUAAUCAAUG